GGGAGAGGGGUAUUUAUAUAUUUUUCUUCUGGGGAAUACCCUUCCUUGUUUCUUAAAUCAGUUUCCAUAUUUUCUUUGCCGUUUCUUAAUAGAAGGUUUAGAGCUUUUCUAUAAGAUAUUAUUGAUGCUGGUCUGUGUAUGUGUAUGUGUAUGCUUUUCCUAGGCCUGAAUGCCUGAUGCUUAGUAGUAUUGCAUAAGGCCAAGGGAAGCUGUACACAUUUUUCAUGUGCAAGGCUACCCAAUUACAAACAUAUGGGAACUAAUAAGUUACUAUGUUUCUAGGUGUCAGCAUUUCGGGAGAGUAAGUCGGACGAUAGGAGAUUCUACAUAUUUUCCCCCACCAAGACGCUUCACUUGAAGACGGACUCGAAAGAUGACCGUGUUGCCUGGAUUGAGGCCUUGAUCCUGGCAAGGAGUGUUUAUUCUCUCGGGUCACUCAGUGGGAGAGUAACUUUCGUGCAGAGUGAUGCUUCGAUUUCAACAGCAAGGCUUAGAGAUCGAAUGCAUCAGGAGGGUCUGAAUGAGAGUCUUAUACAGGACUGUGAACAGAUUGUGCUUUCUGAGUUCUCAAGCUACCGGAAGCAACUGAAGCGGCGUUACGAGGAUUACUUAAGCUUGUUUGGAUCCUGCAGACAUCAUUUUGAGGUAAGAGGAGCUGCAUAUAUUCUCUUUACGUGUUCACGACUUUGCACAACGGUGUCAAGUACUGGCAUCUGGUCAUUACUUUGCACAAUUGUGAUAAGUAGCAGCAACCGACUUGAUGCCUGAAAGUAAAAAUGUGUCUAUAUAACUUGUGGCUUCUUAAAUUCCUGCCAAUCAGCAUAUCUCAUGUUGAAAUAGUAGUAGUUAUAUAAGUUUGCAAAGGUUACUCCUUGAAUGGUUACUCUCCUCUUUUUCCUGCAGGAAUUUUACAUAGUGUAUUACACACAUAUUUGUGCAGGAAGGUAAAGAUGGAAGUAUAACACAGGAGGCAUUGACAAGAAAUGACUUCUCUAGUUCUCGGCAUGGAAAUUUUAGCGGUAUGAUUUUAACACAUACUGGGCUAUUUCCAGCACUAGACCAGCUACAUGAUGUACUUGUCUGUUUAUCGUGUCUUUCACUCCUUGCAUGUUUGUGUUUCCAAGUGCCCUAGUAAUUUUGAACUCCCACAUUUGUUUCCUAAGAAUUAACAUCUUGCUAAUGGUACAAUUGUUGUUCUUGCCCAGAAUAUAGCACCACAGAAUCUGAUGAGCAUGAGUUUGAGAAGCACGAUGGAGGUGAAUUGACUUUUGAAGAUGAAUCUACAUUCUUUGAUUCUGUAGACUACUUCACAGAGUCAGACAACAGAUCGUCAACCAUGUUAAGCAGUCAGGAAGUUGUGGAUUCCCAAACACAUGAUUCCACUAACAACAUAGUGCCGCAAAUCAGACGACGGAUUAGGCUGCCUGAGCCUACUGAGAAAGAGAAAGGGAUCAGUCUCUGGUCCAUUAUUAAAGAUAGUGUUGGAAAGGAUUUGACACGAGUUUGUCUUCCAGUUUACUUCAAUGAACCACUCUCAUCCCUUCAGAAGUGCUUUGAAGAUUUGGAAUAUUCAUACCUCUUGGAUCAAGCAUAUCAACAUGGAAAAGUGGUAAGAUCACUUUCACACCUUUGGUAUUGCACGUGUCUAAGGAAUUUCAUCUGCUUUCCAUGAGUGGCAGAGAUCAGUGAAAUAAUUUCCAAUCCCUUUUCUUGUUCAUGACUGCAUCAGAGUUCAAAUCAGCAAACUCAAUCUUCAAAUGUGAUUCUGAUGCAAAAUAAAACUAGAUAUGUCAUAUCUGCUGAUCAGAUUACAUAUUAGUAUCUGUUGUGAACCCAUAACAAUUGUGAUGUCUAGUAUAUCAUAUCACUAUUGUUCAAGCAGUAUACUCUGCUAAUAAGCAUUGCAGUUUACUCAUUCUUAACAAGUGAAAGGUGUUUUCAGAGUAUUAUAGUUGUAUCUGUUAGUUUUGUUCAGCUACGCUGUACAAUGUCACUUGUGAGUUAGGGAAAUGCUGCAGUUGUGUAUCAACAUAUAACAUGUUUCUAAUACCAUGCAUAUUGCUAUCUUAUAAGAACUUUUGCUCAUUUAUAUCUUAUAUUUGAAAUCUAGGGGGACAGCCUCAUGAGAAUUCUCAAAGUAGCUGCUUUUGCGGCCUCUGGUUAUGCUUCAUCUGUUGCAAGACCUUGCAAACCAUUCAAUCCAUUGCUAGGAGAGACCUACGAAGCUGAUUACCCUGACAGAGGAGUUCGUUUUUUUGCAGAAAAGGUUAGUUAAAGACUCUUUAUUCAUCUUAUGCAAGAGAUGGUGUCUGGGUCUCUGUGGAAGGAUUUAUGAGAAACAUUAUAGUUUUACUAAGUAAAUGAAGCUUUUUAUUUUAUUUUAUUUUCUAUUUUUUUACUGAUGUAUAUCCAUUCCAAAGUAUUUCUGAUAGAGCUAUGCCCCUUUGUCUACCUUUUUACUGAUCAUCCAUAUCUUACUUUGUGGUACUUUGAAUUGGAGACUUUUAAUUUCAUUACGUUGCUGUUCAACAUUUCCACCAAUAGGUUAGUCAUCAUCCAAUGCUGAUUGCCUGCCACUGUGAAGGCAAGGGCUGGAAAUUCUGGGGCGACAGCAAUGUCAAAUCCAAGUUUUGGGGGCAGUCAAUUCAAGUUGAACCAGUUGGCACUUUGACUCUGGAAUUUGAGGAUGGUGAAAUCUUCCAAUGGAAUAAGGUGUCCAGCACAACUGGAGAUACUAAUUUUGCUGAUUGAUAUUAUAAGUUUCUUCUCAUCAUAACUAAAUUCUUAUCAUAUUGCCUUUUCAGGUCACAACGACCAUUCACAAUCUCAUUCUUGGGAAGUUGUACUGCAGCCACCAUGGAACCAUGCACAUAAAAGGGAAUCGUCAGUAUUCAUGUAAACUGAAGUUCAAAGAGCCAUCACUUCUUGACCGGAAUCCUCAUAUAGUAUGUUUCGCUUAGUUCCUUUCUUUGUACUGUUAAGUGCCAACUCAAAUAUUACAAUUGUUAACAAGGGAUUUAGAGCCCACACGUGUUUUCCUCUGAGUACAUUACCUUCUGACCAAUCUGUGGUUAACUCAUUAUCUUCUUUUGUGCUGUUGGCAUUUACAUAUGAAGAGUUUUGCAUAAUUAUCAUGCUCUUAGCAUCUGACAAAUAAACUGUGGGAAAGAUGCAAACCACUUUUCAUUGCAAGAUUUCAAACUCUUGGCCUGGGGUCUCAAUAUGUGUGGCUGAGUUAGCAUCCAUUUGACCUUUGAUCACUUGGGGCAAGUGGUUCUCAUUGUGCUGAUGAUAUAAUUUGGACUGAGUUAGCAGUGAUUUACAAAUUUUGUUAUAUACUUACUGACCCUAGGUUACAGAAACUUAUAUUUCCCGUCUUUUAUGUGUGACAUCUGAGUUGUAAUUUAAUUCAAGUGCUAGCAUAUUUUUUAGCUGUAUGUCUCUUUCAUCCACUGCAUUAUGUUUAUCUGUUGCAUGCACUUUGUCCACAGGUACAAGGCUUUGUAGAGGACAAUAACGGGAACAAAGCUUCGUUUUUGAUAGGGAAGUGGGAUGAAAGCAUGUAUUGUAGUGAUUCUGAUACUUUCAAGGUGAAGAGCGCCGAUCAACUGAAAGGUGCCUCGCUGCUGUGGGAAAAGAACAAACCUGCUCCUAACCCAACACGAUAUAAUUUGUCUUCAUUUGCGAUCACACUGAAUGAGUUAACCCCAGGGCUGCAGGUAUGGUUUACAUGUGAUUGCCACAUAAGUGUUUCGUUAUCAGAUUUUGUCCUAAUUGCUUGGUCAUUCCUGGAUUCAGGAGAAACUUCCACCUACUGAUUCACGGCUGAGACCAGAUCAGCGCCACCUAGAGAAUGGUGAAUACGAGAAGGCGAAUGCAGAGAAGUUGAGAUUGGAACGACGACAAAGAAUGGUAUCCUCUCUGGCUUUCUUCGUAAAAUUUAGAAUUGACUUAGAGGAUCUUUCUGAACAAUUUUGGAAGAAGUUGAGCCUUUCGUAGAUCACAUUCCCAACAUGCCGUUUCGUCCUAUUUGUGUCAUUGCAGUCUACGAAACUUCAAGACAAUGGCUGGAAACCCCGGUGGUUCGAACAGGACACCGAGGACGGGACGUAUCGCUACAAAGGCGGAUACUGGGAAACAAGAGAGAAGGGCUGCUGGGAUGGGUGCCUCGACAUAUUUGGGGAAUUUGUCGAAACAUGAGCAUCCUGUUCUUUUAGCAGAAGAGGUUUAAGUAGCCAACACGCGUCAGGUAACGCUAUUCAGAAACAAUGGAGCACUGCCAUCUCCAGUGGAGCAUCCUCUUGCUGAAGAAGAAAAGGGGGAGCCUUGUGCGAGGAGUAGAGCAUUGGAGACGAAGGCAUUGCCAUGAUGAACUGAAUGGUAGCAUAGUAUAUGAUUGGCCACGGAGAGGCAUUGCCAGCCUGUUAGUAUAGUAGUAUAGUUCCAAUGCAAAUAAGAAUGCUAGUAUUCAUUCUUUGGUUCCUUGUGUUGAACAUGGAUCUGUUGUUGCUGAUAGGCUACCUGGUGUGGAAGAGAUUUGCUUGCUCGGCUAGGCAAAAGUCUGCCUGCCCAUGUAAUGUUUUUUGCCGAUUGCAACCGGGACUGGAAAAAAACAUCUUCUGUAGAGAAGAGAGACAGUAAACUUACAUGAUCCUGACAUAAUUCAGCAAACAAUCAUUACUACCUUAUAUUCCAUCUCUGGUGGACAAUAUCUUCAUCUUCAAAUCAAUAUCAACCACAUAGAGUCUAUUCGCUUGGCAGAAAAGUCAUAGCUGAAAAUACUGUUCGUAGAUUUAGUGGAUAAGCUCAAUCAAACAGGCUCAUAGAUACUGACAUUAUUUUCCUAGCAAAGCUCACUACCAUUCUCUUUUUCGUGGAUCCUUGGAAUUAAAUUUAGUCUAAUAAAUUAUAAUUUAGGCACAUAUUAAUUAAGCUAAUAUGUUUAUAUAUAGGAUAUAUUUGUACACUAUUGUUAGCCAUGUAAGAGAGACUCUUAUAUGUUGUAUUUCUACUAUAGGAAGCGAGUUAAAAAGUGUGUUAUAAGGUGUUUUUUUUUGAGGAAGGAGUGUGUUAUAAGUUGAAGAGUAGAAACAUAACAUGAUGAUCUAUAAAAUCAAUUUUGAUCUCUCAUUCUAUGAAUUUGAGAUAAGAUUAUACAUGAACUUUGUAAAGUUGUGGAAUCUCACAUUUCAACCCAAAUUACCUAAUCCAUUAAGUAGAUUUCAAUUUCUCUGAAAUGAAACGAUCGAAACGGCCCUAAGUGAAAGGGCUUUCCCUGCUUUUAUAGAAGGUAUUCAGCAUAUAUCGGUUUUACAAUUUACAUACUACAGAAACAGUGCAGUGAAGCAGAAAUACAAGAGACGUAUAACCCCAAAAGUAAACUGCUACAUACUACACCACCACCAAAACACAGUAUACACUUGAGAAGAUCAGAACCAAAGCGAGUCUUUGGAGGUGUGGGGUGUUAAAGUUUAACAUACACCGUAGCAUUUUCGUUUUAUUUGGCAAUUAGUGUCCAGUCAUAAACUAAUUAGGCUUAAAAGAUCCAUCUUGUAAAUUACUCUCUAACUGCGUUUUUAGUUUUAUAAAUAGUCUAUAUUUAGUACUCUGUCCAAAUAUUUAAUAGGAUAGGUGUUAAAAACAAACGGAAGGAACCAAACAGGCCCUUCAUCCUCCUCUUGAUUCUUCACUUCAAUGAGACUGACAGUUGGUCAUCCAUCCAGAAAGGAGAAAGCCACCCUUUGAAUUCAGGGGAAAAUAUUGGACGAAGGGUUUUCACGAUUGUACCAAGAGGGUAAUUUGCACCCAAUAUUUUCUCUAUUUUCCCUGAAUUCAGAGACUCUAUUUCUAACUAGAGGCCCUCAGCAACAACUGCCAUUUCGGAAGGGAAAAAAAAAAGGAAAACUUGAGCAGACAAUCUUGGUGGCAACAGCCGAACUGCCGAAGAGACCACUGUCAUUCAUUUAUGCGUUUAUUUCUUUGAUUGCAUUGCAUCUUGUUUCGUCGUCGACACUGUGUUUUCGACACUGUUUAUUUCUCCUGCAUGCUGCCUGCUGCUGCUGUGCACGGCGGGCGGCGCAGUCCCAGUCCCAACCAUUAGGGGAGGCGGAGCUGCUCCUCCAGAUGAAGCGUGCAAGGGGCGACCCCCCGCCCCGCCCGUGCUCGCGGCAUGGAAUUGGACCGCCGGCGCCGCCACCUCGGCCGCGGGCGCGCACUGCCGCAGGCCAUACGCGGGGUGCGACCCGGCGGCCCUCGCCUGCAUCGACUGACAUCACACGCCUUGACACCUCUCUCCAACAACAACAACAUCACCGGCCGGCGUGUUUUCCGACGGCGCUCGGUCUACCGCUCCAGUACCUCGACCUGUCCUACAACUACCUCCAAGGGGAGCUCCCUGAUGACAUCGGCUAUGGCCUCGGGGCAAACCUGAGUACGCUGGAUUUCGGCCUCAACAAGUUUAGGCCUUAUCCUUAACUAUUUUACGAAAUGGUAAGAUUCUACAUCAUAUUAAAUCGCUACUCUCUAAAAUAGAUUUGAUAAAAAAGAUAUUAGAGUACUCCAAGGAUGGCUAGUUAGAUAAGUUAUGCAAAUGUAGAGAGCGAAUAAGUUGGGAUGAAGUGCUACUAAAUUUAAAGGGUCAUUUACAAAGUCCGUUGGAGACGUUUUUCCUUUAACAAUAGCCAAAUUUACGUUUAGAAAAUGAUUUGGCUAAUCUAUUGGAGAUGCUCUUACGGUAAAUGCAUAGAGCACUAAAUAUAGAUAACAAAAUAACUAAAUAUAUAGUUUCUCUGUAAUUUACGAGACAAAUUUUUUGAGUCUAGUUAGUUCAUAAUUGGACAAUAUUUAUGAAAAACAAACGAAAUACUAUAAUGUCUAUUUGCAAUUUUUUUUCAAAUAAACAAGGCCUUAAUGGAAGCAUCCCGGCUUCUUUCUCUAGUGUUGACUGGCCAAUCACCUUGGCUGGUACCGAAGUUGGGGAAGAAUGGUGACGGCGUUUUGGUCGAUCCAGCGUCCUCUUUAGAUUGAGAUGAGAGUGUUGGGGGGGGGGAACUUCUGUGUUGUGUCGUUACUCAAAGAGAAGCCGCGACCCUUUUUAAUAUGACAUUGGUCGACUCGGGGCCGCAACCAUUGGUUGGUUUGGCGGUACCGAUCAUCGCGCGUACGUGGGAUUCCCUCACGAGCCUCCGACUAACUCGGCUAGGGGAAACAGUCUUUGACUCCGUAUCCCUUCAUAACGGCUCGAGCCCGAGAUCACUUAUGUGUUAGUCUCCAAUAUUCUCCUCUUUGAUCGAAUGACAUCAUCAUAAGUCCACACUCAACAGGAUGAUGUACGAAAUACUAUGAUACAGAAGUUAGGAAAAUUGCCACUGCAACACAAGCAUCAACAAUAAACCAAACCACUUCGAUAGGAUGAAACUUAAACAUAAUAGGAGUUGGUUGUGUUAUGACCCUUAUCCAGGAUCAUUAGAGGCUUUCUAUUAAACCUAUGCUGGUAACAUGUUCAUUAAAAAUUCUGGAUGAUAAACUUUUUGUUAGGGGAUCCGCUAACAUCAGUGUCGUACUAAUGUGCACUAUAUCGAUAGUUUGAUCCUGGAUUCUAUCUUUCACAACAAAAUAUUUUAAUAUUAAUAUGUUUGGCAGCACAUGUGAUAUCAUACGGAUAAAACAUGAAUAUUAUUUUCUCAUUCAUUAAAUUCUAUUAUUCAAUGCACCUAUGAUUCAAACUUGCAUUUUCCAAAAAAAUCAAUUUAAUAAAAAAAAAAUAAAAGAAAUAUAGCUAACAUAUCGAGAAAUGAGCCAAAUUUGAACAUGCACUUCCAAGUACCAUGUAAGGAUAAUUAAAAAAGUUUGGGAGCAAAAAUAAAAACAAUAAAAAAAGCUUUGCCGAGUGUCAUUUAUCGACACUUGGCAAAGAUUAAUAGUAGGUGAUGACGUUCAGCUGUCGUCAUCUCUUUGCUAAGUGUUAGGCUUUACCGAGUGAUGAAGACCAGACCCGAUCUUUCGAGAGGUAACCAGUAAGUUCGAUUUGUGGAGACAGCAAGGUUUUGGACAGUGCUACUGCUGCUGCUGCUCUUCUUCAUCAACUUCUUUGUAUCCUGAAAUUCAGUAGGUUGUAAGGAUGUCAGGGUGCUGCGCAUCCUAGCUUUGUGCGGCCCUUCCCUUUUUUUUCCUCUUUUCUUUUUACUCUUCUUCUUCCUUUUUCUUUUAGUGUUAGCUCCCCUCUGUCUUCCUGAAUGGUUUUUGCUACAAUUUUGUUUAUUUUAAUAAAGUGUUGUAGGGGUGCAAACCCCUCCGGUUUCCCUUCAAAAAAGAGGUCGAGUCCUGUAAAGGCUGGAGAGACUGAGAAAGUUAAUUUUGCCCUUAAGGGCAUGUGCUUCCACUCUCUCUACCACUGGAUUCGCAUUGAGAAGUGUGCAAACACACAUCUCAAUGCGAAUCUGCUUUGAGAUGUGUGUUUGCACACUUCUCAAUGCGAAUCCAGUGGUGGAGAGAGUGGGAGCAUAUGUCCUUAAGGGCAAAGAAAACUGCGUUCAGGAGAGACCGACAACAGUAUCCAUCGUGAUGUUGCUUCUGGAGAGAGCGAGCCUUGUGACACGUCCGGCCGAGCCGCACCGCACGUAUGGCCAGCGGCAGUGCGUGCCGGCGGCCGAGGUGGCAGCGCUCCAAUUCCAUGCUCCGAGCACGGGUGGGGCGCCCCAUGCACGCUUUAUCUGGGGGAGCAGCUCCGUCCGUCCACCAGUGGUCCGGAUUGCACCGCCGCGCACGAUAGGAGGCAGUAGGCUAGCAUAGGCAGGAGGAGGUGGGAAGCGUACAAGUAGGCUCGCUUGGCACCGUGGAGAUGGAGUUGCCACUACUAGAAACUGGGUUUUUGCCUAGUGCAAAAGGCUUUACCGAGUGCCAAAUGUCGUGCCGCACUCGGUAAUGAAAAACACUAAACAAAGGAUCUUUUGCCGAGUGUCAGGCGCUCAAAAAGAUUAGCACUCGGCAAAGAUAAUCUGUGCCGAGUGUUAGGCAUUCGGCAAAGCCCGACCCUCUGCAAAGAUGGCGAGGUGACAGCCGUCAGUCUUUGCCGAGUGUCGCCCGUCUAGCACUCGGCAAAGAGUUUUUAUUUUUUAAUAAUUUCUUUGCCGAGUGUCUUAGUCCCCGCACUCAGCAAAGAUUUUUAUUUUUUUUAAUUAUUUCUUUGCUGAGUGCCCUAGUGGAAGACACUGGGCAAAGCCAUCAUUAAUGGUGAAACUACCAUGACGGUGUCUUUUCUUUGCCGACAAUUUUUUUGCCUAAUGGUCUUUGCCAAAUGCAAUUAGACUUUUGCCGAGUGCCUAGGGCACUAGGCAAAGACCCAGUGUGUGGUCUCUUCUAUCUUUUGACGAUCGCGAUGAAGUGGAGGUAGGAAAAGGGGUGCUUUCAGCUGGGGUUCAUUUUCAGGUCGUGAUAUAAUGAUCUUUCCAACAACCACCGGAGUCAUCGCCCGAGACUUGUGGAGACUAAACCGUUCCAGGGCCAGAAAUGCAUAACCGAAUGGGCACUAAGUGGUCACCACCUCAUAGGAGACUUGGAAAGUAGUAGUCGGUGGUCAACCAAGCAUGAAACACGAGUCCUUCCUCCUGUACCUGAUUUGCCAACUGACAACGACGAAACAAGAUUGCAAAGCAACCACAACACACGAUGAAUGAUGUGAACCUAAAACUUGAUGUUGUCUCUUUCGGCUCUUGUAAUUGUAACCUGAGCGCUUUGGAAUUGUAGAAAUAAAAUCAAGUCUUGUACAAUUUUUUCCCCUUUUGCAGAAGUGGCAGCUGUUGCUGAGGGUUUCAGUUAAAUGGAGACAGCUCAAGAGUGGCUUUCUGGAUGGAUGACGAACUGCCAGUCUCACUAAAAUUGAAGAGUUCUUAUGUUUCUGGUGGUCCUGUAGUUCGCCUAUUGGGGGGCCAGCCCAGAGUGCCUGCCUAGUGUUUCUGCUUCCCUCUGUUCUCAACUGUUUAUAAGCUUAUUAGUUAAUGCCUUCUAUAAAAGCAGGGAAAGGUCUUUCACUAAAAAAAAGAGAUGAUGGCAGUAAGUUCUGCUAGGAUCUUAAUGUUAAGAUCUGUGCGGUUGAUUUCCAAGAUGAAGAGAUAUCCACCAGAGAUCGGAAAGAAGUAAUUGUUUGCUGAAUUAUGUCAGGAUCAUGUAAGUUUAGUAGUUUACUGCCUCUUCUUUUCUACAGAAGGUGCUUUUCCAGUCCCGGCCGGGUACAAAAGGCAAAAACGGCUGCAAAUGAGCAGGCAGACUUUUGCCUAGCCGAGCAAGCAAAUCUCUUCCACAACCGGUAGCCUAGCUACUCGGCAACAACAGAUCCAUGUUCAACACAAGGAAUCUAAGAAUGAACACCAGCAUUCUUAUUUGCAUCGGAAUCGGAACUAUAUAUAUAUACUAUACUAACACGCUGGACCUAUGAAAUACAUGUAAAAUAUUCGUGCCUGGUGGCAGGUUUAGUUGUCCUAGCAGAGAUUAACUUUAGAGUAAAAUACACUGGUGGUCCAUUAACUUGUCAGCCUGUGCCAUUUUGGUCCAUGAAUUUGCAAACCCAAAAAAGUGAUCCCUGAACUUGUCCGUCUGUGCCACUUUAGUCCAUGAACUUGCAAACGCGAAAAAAUACCCCCUAAACUUGUCGACUUAUGCCACCUUGGUCCAUGAACAUGCAAAUACGAAAAUAACACCAGCUGUAUGGCACUGUUCUGCCACGUGGCCGCCUCUGGUAGGCCAUGCAUGGCACCCAGCUGAUGUCAACACCAUAAACAGUGCCAUGCAUGGCCUACCAGAGGCGGCCACGUGGCAGAACAGUGCCAUGCAGCUUGUGUUUUUUUCGUAUUUGCAUGUUCAUAGACCAAGGUGGCACAGGUCGACAAGUUUAGGGGGCACUUUUUCGCGUUUGCAAGUUCAUGGACCAAAGUGGCACAGACGGACAAGUUCAGGGGUCACUUUUUCGGGUUUGCAAGUUCAUGGACCAAAGUGGCACAGGCUGACAAGUUAAAGGGCCGCCAGUGUAUUUUACUCUUAACUUUAACAGAUCCUUCCAGAGAGUGUAUUGUUUGCCAGAUUCAGUCUCUGCAGCAGUGGCGUGCCAUAGAUCAAAUUUGAUGGUAUCUCACCUGAGAGUCGGUUACUGCCUAGGUCUAGAACUUGCAGCUGUGGCGUACCGCAGCCAAGAUUCGCUGGUAUCUCGCCGGAGACUUGGUUACUAUUCAGGUCCAGAAUCUUGAGCGUGGCACAUCGUGCGAGACCUUGUGAGAUGGAGCCGUUCAAUUGAUUGUUUGAGUUGAGGCAGUGAAAUACUCAAGCAUGCCAUGAGCACACAGCCACUCUGGGACGUCACCAACCCAAACCUCAAAUAAAGCCUGCUGGUGAGUGCUUCCCUAGCUCUAGCGGGAGUGUCCCAGUAAGCCUGUUGCUGUCCAAGUACAAUGAUUUCAGCGAUGGCAACCGGCUGAUACUUUCAGGUAUUUCACCAAAGAAACUGUUGUAAUUAAUCGAGCAAUAAUUCUGUGAGGUUCUCCAAGCGUCCAAAGACUUGAGGGAUGGCUCCAGCAAACUUGUUGUCCGAUCGAUAAAAUGAUUUUGGUUAAGCCCCUCGCGGUAAAACAAUCAUCCGAUUCCACUAGGUGUCCGGUAAGGUUGCAACAAUUAAGAACUGAAGCUUGUUGAGGCUCCAAACCUCAGGAGGUAAGCUUCCUGUCAACGAGUUGUCUGCAAGGUUCAGAAGCUCCAACUCUGUCUUCAUAAUCACCACGUAGCUCGGGAAGUUGCCGACGAGGCCACAUCCUCCAGCCCAUAGCCUGACAAGCUUGGUCAUAUUCCUGAACGAUGUUGGUAGCUUUCCUGGGUCGAACGAGUUGUACGCCAACGACAAUGUCUCGAGGAGACUCAGCUCGCCAAGCUCUGUCGGAAUAGUGCCUGUGAGGCCGUUGUACUCCAGCUCGAGAAACCGGAGGUUUCAGAGCUUGGACAGAGAUGUCGGGAUGCUGCCAUUGAACUGGUUAUAACUGAGGACCAGCAUGCUCAAGUUCGCCGAGAGGCCAUAUGGCCAAUGUCAAGGGGGAGCUCUCCAGCGAUGUUGUUCAGGAAAAGGACAGGUGGAGGUACUGGAGUGAGCCACAGCGGUAGAGCACCGUUGGGAACAUGCCGGCCGGCGAUCGAUGCUGUUGUUGGAGAGGUCGAGCUUUGCAAGGUUGGAGAAGACUCCAAUGGCGUCCGAGAUGGGGCCCGUGAUGUUGACGCUAACGAGCUUGAGGGUCGUGACUCGGCUGGACGAGUCGCAUUGCACGUAUGGCCAACGACAAUGCGCCCCCGCGGCCGAGGUGGCGGCGGUCCAUGUCCAUGCCGCGAGCGCCGGCGGAUCACCCCACGCGUGCUUCAUCUGGAGGAGCAGCGCCGUCUCAUCGACGUGUCGCGACUCGCGACUGCGCGGCGGCCACGCAAUGGUGCAGGAGGCAUGCUACUAGUACUAGCACGGGCAGCAUGAGGCAGCAACAAGAACAAGCACGGGCGUGGCGAGGUGUUGCCAUGCCUUUGCCUGCUGUGGUGGAGACGGCGUGUGUUCUGGUUUUCUACUUGAAUGGGCGAGCAGAGCACUGGAAAUUUUGGGCUUUGGAGACUCCUCCGAUCCGUGAUAAUGAUAUGAGUCUCUAUUGCUGUCACCGGAGACUAAAACACAGUAAUUAGCCCGGUCAAAACACGGCAAUUUGAAACACUGUUCCUGGCCUGGACAGGACGAUAGGCGAUGGAGAUGGAACCAGCGGAAGCACGCGGCUGUCCCUUGACUAACUUAGUGAGAGGACAGCAACACUGUUGCUCUUGUUUAACAGAGAUCAAACUAGCAACCAUCACUACCCGAGACGCCCGCCUAUGCCGAGUGCCGCAAGCUUUGCCGAAAGCUAACUUUUAGAUACUCAGCAAAGGGGCCGUUUGCCAAAUAUCUCCAUCAACAAAGAGCAACACUUGGCAAAGAUGAGCUUUACUGAGUGUCUGACCCUUGCUAAACAGCAGCACUCGGUAAAACUCAUCUUUGCCGAGUAUCAGACACUCGGCAAAUAACUUUUUUCUCAAGUGUCAUAUACUCGGUAAAACAUAACACUUGGCAAAGAGAUGAUGACAGCUAAAUGCCGUCACCUGUUGUUAAUCUUUGCCAAGUGUCAACAAAUAACACUUGGCAAAGCUUUUUUUUUUUUUUUUGCUCCCAAACUUUUUCAACUGUCCUUACACAAUACUUGAAGUGCAUGUUCAAAUUUGGCUCAUUUCUCGAUAUGUUAGCUAUAUUUCUUUCAUUUUUUUCAUUAAAUUAUUUUUUAGAAAAUGCAAGUUUGAACUAUAGGUGUAUCGAAUAAUAGAAUUUAAUAAAUAGAAAAAAUGAUAUUCAUGUUUUAUCCGCAUGAUAUCACAAGUGCUGCCAAACAUAUUGGUAUUAAGUAUUUUGUUGUGAAAAAUAGAAUACAAGAUCAAACUGUUGAUAUAGUGCACAUUAAUACGACAAUGAUGUUAGCGGAUCCUCUAACAAAAGGCUUACAAUCCAAAAUUUUUAAUGAACAUGUUGCCGGCAUGGGUUUAAUGGAAACUCUCUAAUGAUUGUGGAUAAGGGCCAUAACACAACCAACUCCCAUUAUGUUUAAGUUUUAUCCUAUCGAAGUGGUUUGGUGUAUUGUUGAUGCUUGUGUUGUAGUGGCAAUUUUCCUGACUUCUGUAUCACAUCGUACAUUAUCCUGUCGAGUGUGGACUUAUGAUGAUGUCUGGACUUAUGAUGAUGUCAUUCGAUUAAAGUGGGAGAAUGUUGGAAACUAACGGAUAAGUGAUCUCUGGCUUGAGCUGUUAUGAAGGGGUAUGGGGUCAAAGACAUCCCUGUCUGAAUUAGUCGGAGGCUCAUGGGGGAAUUCCACGUACACACGAUGAUCGGUAGUGCCCAAACCAACCAAUGGUUGCGGCCCCGAGUCGACCAACGCCAUAUUAAAAGGGGUCCCAGCUUCUCUUUGAGUAACUGCACAACAGAGAAACAGUUUCCCCCAACACUUUCUCAUCCCGAUUUUGCGCUGGAUCGACCCAAAGACUGCUACCUUCUUCCCCAACUCCGGUACCGGCCAAGGUGAUUGGCCUGUGACGUUGGCGUCCUAAAGGCCGACGCUACCCCAACUCCAAACAACCACAUCGACCUCGUUUACGCGUCCCUACUCCACCAUCGAUGGUGGAACAUCAAGGUCAUUGACUAGGCUAGAUCAUCUAAUUGUAUUGAUCUUUGAUCUAAUAGUGUAGUAUUUUGUUUGUAUUUGACAAAUAUUGUCUAAUCAUGGACUAACUAGGCUCAAAAGAUUAAUCUCGCAAAUUAUAGACAAACUAUAUAAUUAGUUAUUUUGUUAUCUAUAUUUAAUGCUUCAUGCAUGUACUAUAAGAUUUGAUAUGACGGGGAAUCUUCAUCAUUUUGCAAAAUAGUCGAGGAACUAGGCCUUGUUUAGUUGGUUGGAGAAAAAAAUUUAUGUACUGUAGCAUUUUCGUUUUUAUUUAUAAAUUAUUGUCUAAUUAUAGAUUAACUAGGCUUAAAAGAUUCGUCUCACAAAUUACAGUCAAACUGCACACUUAGUUAUUAUUUUUUAUUGGAAUCUUAAUUUUUUUAAGUUUUUGGAUGAAACUAAACAAGGCAAGGCCUCAACUUGUUGAGGCCAAAAUCCAGGGUACUCAGGUUUGUCCCCAGGCCAUAGCCGAUGUCAUCAGACAUCAGGGAGCUCCCCUUGGAGGUAGUUGUAGGACAGGUCGAGGUACUGGAGCCAUCUGCAGCGGUAGACCGAGCGCCGGCGUGGGAGGCCACCAACGGCGUCCAGGAUGUGUGUCGUGAUGUCAGUCGAUGCCGGUGAGGGCGAGCCUCUUGACGCAUUGCCUACCCACAUCGAUGUUCGUCUCCGUCUCGCGAAGGCAAAGGGCGCAACGCUCCUCCAUAGGCACCGGGGGCGUCGUCGAGGGCACGAGCGUGGGGCGGCGCGGCUUCCUCUGUUAGGGACCGCUGUCGAGGAGCGCAGGGCCGCCAUUUGGGAGUGCAAGGUGGCACGACUUCUUAUGUCGGACGUGACCAGGAGCAACGGGGGUAGAAGAACAUGAGCUCGGUGUCUAACAAUUCAGUCCCAUUGCCAGCAGCAACUAACGGGGGCAAAUUACCAUUCAUCCAUAGGCGGACCCAGGGCCCGGCGACCCUGGGCCCAUGCCCAGGCUCCUGUCUUAGCAAUCCUUUGGAGCCCAGCAGAUGGCCCAUUAGCUAAGCAUGGAUUGACUAGGCUGGAAGCAGUAUACUAGGAGAUCACAGUGAUCACAGUUUGUUUGCCCGAGCUGCUCCAUCUAUCUAGGUCCGCCUAUGCAUUCAUCCCAACCCGCUAAAUCCCCCGUACCAAACAAAAAACUAUAAUGGCUCCACCCCUCGAAUCAAACAUGAGAUCGGUCCAACCCAACCCAGAAAACUAGGUCAGGUUCAACUCAUCCCACAUGGUUCUUAAACCAAACACAAGUAAGCCCUUUCCCCUUUCCAUGAAAUUCCUAGAAAUAUACUAGAAAUAUUAGAGCCACUCCAAAGCCUAUCCAGACCUUUCCCACACAUUCUCCACCAUCUGAAAUUCCAAAAGUAAUAUUCAAUAUCCUUUCCCCCAAACCAAACACUUCUAACAGUUAAAGUCAUAGAUAUGUCGGUUGACACUUCUUAACGCAAUUACUAAAAAUAGACUCUUAAACCUAUCCAUAGCAACGGCGUCAAAAUUACUUAACAUCACUUAAGUUAGGUUGUCAUCCCCAACAUAAUGUAGAAAUGCUGGUACUAAAUCUAUAUGCAUUUCUAAGGAUAAAUAAAUAAAUAAAUAAAGGAUUCGCAAACUCACAGAUAAUACCGAAGUAGCAUUUUAACCAGAAGUAUUCUAGGAAAUGAAAGAGGUGAGGUGGGUUGGGGGCAGCCAUCUCUUAUUUAUACUCUUAUUUAUAGGCCUAUUACACAUUCCUCAAAUGACCCUAAAUAUUUUUGAGCAAACUAGAUAGCCUCAGAGGCAUUCUAGUCUAACUCGACAUGACCUACAUCCGACGGCCACCGCGCCCUUCAUGAGGUAGCUUAGCCUGGACGCUAACUCCUCAAUGCCGCCACGUGUCGUCCAUUCCUCGAAACCUCCGCCCGGGUUUUGAGGCCUAAACCGCGAAACCCACCGCGAGUAGCGUACUCCAUACGCAUCUCCGCCUCUCAACACGUGUCACCUCCGUCCUCGAUCGGCCGGACCGCCAAGUCCUCCUGAGCCUCGUUCGACUCACACGUCCGCCAUCUUGACUUGGUCAACACGGUCACUCUCAUGUACACUCGCACUUGUCGAUGUCCCAGAUGUCAGCCACUUUAGUUGGUCAGCCGGCCUCCUGGUCCGCCAGUCCAAACCUCACGUCUGCCCUUCAUCGCUUCAAGUUGAUCGGUACGGCACGUCUCUACUUGACCUUCUCCUCGCCGUCGAUCACCACCUCCGAGCUCCACACCUACACACCAUAAACCAAGAGAUAUGUUGCACACUUAACUUUUGCCAUGAUAAUAUUAGUCAUCAACUCAAUCUAUUCAUAGAUCAUGUUGAUAAUUCUCAUCAUAAAAUAAACCACAAGAAUAUUUGUCGAUCUUGUGUUCGCACCACACCGCAUUCAGGACGGAACCGCGAGUCAGUCAUGAAGAGUUUUGUGUGUUUGCGACCACGGCCUUGUUUAGUUCCUUGGAGAAAUUUUUUCGCGACACUGUAGUACUUUCGUUUGUUUGUGAUAAUUAUUAUCUAAUUAUGGACUAAUUAGGCUCAAAAGAUUCGUCUCGUAAAUUUUGACCAAACUGUGCAAUUAGUUUUUAUUUUUAUUUAUAUUUAAUACUCCAUGCAUUUGUCUAAAGAUUCGAUGUGACGGGGAAUCUUGAAAAGUUUUUGGAUGUUGGGCGGAAGUAAAAGAUGCGAAUUGCCGUGUUUUGGGCUUUUGGCCGGAAUUAUUGUGUUUCAGUCUUCCCUGACAACGGCAGAAUUUAUCACGGCUCGGGAAAAAAAAAAAAAAAGACCCCAAGCACAAAUUUCUACGAACCCGUUCGAGCCAGGGGAGCUGCCAGCAUCAUUCAAGAACUUGACCCACCUAGCCAUACUUAACGCAUGUUGCUGCAACCUCGUAGGUGCCUUCCCGAGUUACCUGACAAAGAUGCAGCAGUUGGAGGAACUGUACCUCAGGGACAACUCGUUGACAGGAGCCAUACCUCCGGGGAUCUGGGACCUCAAGAACCUGCAGAUCUUGCAAGUGCAGAGAAACAACCUCACUGGCAACGUGGUGAUUGAUGGCUUUGCUGCUCUCAGGUUGACGGUUAUCGACUUGGCGCAUAACAAACUUACUGGAACUAUCCCAGAAGUCUUUGGACGCUUAAAGAACCUCACGUAUUUGGUACUCUACAGAAACAACUUCUCCGGCGAGAUACCCAUGAGCAUCACCAAUUGUGCUGUCCUAGAGGUUUUAUACCUCGGUGAUAACAAGCUUUCUGGAGAGAUCCCAAAGGGGUUAUGCGUUGGAAACAAACUCUAGUAUCUCAACGUCUCGCACAAUAGGUUGAACGGCUCCAUCCCAAUUGACCUCGCCGGCUGUGCCACUCUGGAAGUACUUGAGCUAAACAAUAACCAGCUCUCCGGUCAGAUACCAGCAAAUUUUGGCUAUGGCACGCCACAGCUGCAGAGACUAAACCUGGCGAAUAACCAACUCUCUGGACGGAUCAGUUAAGUGAAUCUGCAGGGCUAGUCUCUGGAUAACUCAUUGGAACAGUCAACGAAAUAUAGUCGGUAGUUUACCUAGGGGUAUACCCAAGGUAGUAGACUGUCGGCUGAUAGGUGCGCAAGCUAUGAAUUAAUGGUGACGCAAGACACAGACAAGAAUUUUAUCUAGGUUCGGCCACCAUGAGGGCGUAAUACCGAUGUUCUGUAUGAUCUAAGUUGUCCUCUACGGGACCCCAGCCCCUCCUUAUAUACUGUGAAGGGACAUAAUUACAAAUUUGGUAUAAUAUUUUAUUGUAGCUAGCCUUGCGGUGCACAUCGACCAGCAUUGCACGUCGCAUGUCUUCAUCUUGUGGGUCGGACCACCUUCGAUGGUGCGGCCGAUAUCAAACCAUAAGGGUAUAGGGAUUUAUACCCACAGGAACCAUACCUCUAGGGAUCUGGGCCCCAAGAACCUGUGAAUCUUGUCUGCGAUGAGCGACAACCUUAGAGGUAACAUAGGCUUAAUAUGUUCGUUUGUGUGAAAAGCUAUAACUUACAGCACCGUUUUCUGAUUUGUUGUGAGAAAAAAACACUGCUAAAUGGCUGACAGGCUACCAUCAGCUUUAUCGACUUGUCAGACAACAAGCUCCUGGAAUCAUUCCAAAAGUCUUGGGAGGCUUGAAGAACCUUACAAUUUUGUUGCUCUACAAAGACAACUAUGGUGAGAUACCUGUGAGCAUCUGCCGAUUGCCUUCAUUGACAGACUUGAUGCUGUCUAGUAACAUGCUUACCGGCACACUGCCACUGCAGCUCGGUAAGCAUGCACUCGCCUGCCCUAUCUUAUGUUUCAGUUAAUAACAACAAGCUCACCGGUGAGAUACCAAAAUGGCUAUGCGCCGGAGGCCAGCUCCAACAUUUUAGCGCUAGCAGCAGCCAGCUCUCCGGCGAAGGUGCCAACAUUUUAGGCUAGCAGCAGCAGCCAACAUUUUAGGCCUCGCUUAUUAUGCCACGCUGAAGCAGCAGCCAGCUCUCCGGCGAGGUGCCAGAGGCUCUGCGGAGAGUGACGCAGGCUGAUAACGUGAUUUUACGGAAUAAUCGACUCACUGGGAGUCUCUGCCUAACAUGAUUUCCAGCAACUUUGCGUGGCUAGACAUAGGAAACAACCAGUUUGUUGGUAGGAUCUUAUCAACAGCUUGCAAAAUGUGAAUAGUAUCAAUUUCGUUUGUAUUUGACAAAUAUUGUCUAAUCAUAGACUAACUAGGCUCAAAAGAUUCGUUUCGUCAAUUCCGACCAAACUGUGUAAUUAGUUUUUAUUUUUGUCUAUAUUUAAUACUUCAUGCAUACGUCUAAAGAUUCGAUGCGACGAGGAAUGUGAAAGAUUUUGUAAAAUUUUUUGGGAACUAAACAAGGCCUUGGGCUUGAAUAUUUCAUUGCUGACAAUAACCAAUUUUCUGGCCAUAUACUCCCAGCGAAUCUGAGCUAUGGCAUGCCAAUGCUGAAGAAGCUGAACCUGAGCAAUAACAAACUCUCCGGCAGGAUCAGCUAAGCUACUGUAUAGGGACUGAACCUGACCGAUGACCAAACUCUCCGAGCUGAAUAUGUAAAACUAUAUAAAUAGCAUGAGCAUGUGUGAAUAUACAUGGAUAAGUUAUAGUUUUCUUGAAGCUUUGUGAUAGCUUAGAGCAACCGGGUCGCCUGUGAUUGAUGCUUCAAGGUAGUGUGUGGUAGUAAAAAAAAAAAGGGGGAAAAACAUUUGAUGAAAUAAUCAGCAUAUUAUCGACUCUAUAAACAAUACGCCCCUAUAUUAUGAAAGGACGGAUGAUGGAAACAUAUUACUGUUGUUGAAGUCCAAGAGCUUUGACAGGAUGUUAGUUUCAGGCUUUCGGCCUCAGGUUUUUCGGCUUCGGCCACUGGUGGUGUACACUAGCUAGCUUGAGAUGUGAAAAAAAGGAGGACCAAAUUAAAGCUGUCAUUCGUAGUUGCUCUUGUCAAUAAAGUACGUUUGUAUGUUACUAUAGCUGCAUUGGCUCACCUUAUAUUAAAAGAAGAGGUAAAAACACACCCUUUGUUUGCCGGUGGACCAAAAUGAUAGGACUGUAGAUACAUACCUACAGUACUAAGUAGCAUAUCAUCUUCAAUUUAACUAUUUUAUUAAAAACAACUAAAAAUAUUUACAGUAUCAAAUACUCCAUAUGUCCCUGAAUAAGUCAAUUAUUAUUCCUGUAAUUCGUGUCAAUCAGACUUUUUAAAAUUUAACUAACUUUAUAGAAAAAAUAACAACAUUUAUCACAUAACAUGAGUACCUUAUAAAAAUAUAUAUUCUAUGAUAAACCUAAUAUACUAAUUCGAUAUCAUAAAUCUUAACUUUUUUUAGAAAUUCGGUUAAAGUUUAAAAAGAUUAACUUAAGACAACUCUAGAAAUCUGUUUAUUUAGAAACAGAGGGAAGAAGUACAUUGGAAUAUAUUUUUAUAAUAUAUCUAUUUUAAAUCAUAACUGUACAUAUCAUUUCUAUAAACUUAGGAUUAAUAUAGAAUUAAUUACUUAAAGAUCAAAGAGCUAUAUAACAAAUAUUGAUAAGCCAUUUUUUAUUUCGUAUAGAUAGUCAGUUUUUAUCUAGCGUGGAUCCAAAGAUGGUGGCCCCUGAAUGCAAAGCUUUUUAUAUAUAGACGUUGCAAUGUACUCCGUACUCCGGUAGUAAUUACCGGUCAAUUAGCUCAUCUACGAACAAUGCGUAGAUCUAUAUAUACUUUUAUUUAUUGACAAUAAUGUGCAGUCCAUAUGUAUACUAUUAAAAAAAUAAAAUUACUCGGCCUGGCCCAUGGGAGCAAACAUGAUGAUUAUACCGAAAUCAAAGUGUGUCUGGUCCAUAACGAAAAGUCAAGCGGGUAGCGUCUCAGUUGCUUUAUCUCUGCUUUGGUGCUGAAGAAGCAACAUAAUGACAAUUAAUGCUUGUAUUCCAUUCCCAAAAGGUUAACAAUAUAUUUUCAUGUUAUAUCUAUAUGAAAUCAUAAAUGUUCGUGUUAUUUCUGUAUAACUUUAAUUUAAACUUAGACUAGAUUUGGUAUUAAAGUUCUUACUGAGAAGAAGGAAGUAAUAUAUAGAACAAGUAAUAGUAAUAAGUCAAUUUUUAUCUAGCGUCCUCUGUUUUUUUAUCAUUUAAACGGUCAGGCAUUUAAUUUCCGUUUACCCUUAAGCAUUUAAUUUCACAGUUUCAAAUUGCACAAACAAUCUCAGAUAGAAAAAUGACCAGAAGUAAAGUUGUAGAUCUCGACUUUGUAGUUAACAACCCUUUUAUUAAAAAUUAUUUAUGGUCUAGAAUUUGUAUUUGAAGUCCUAAUAUUUUGAAAUUCAAAAUUUUCAAAAAAAUUUGGAUGGAAAAUCUAUCAUAACCAAAGUUUAAGAUUUCGAUGAGAACUACAACUUUGUAGUUGAUGACUUCUCAUUUAAAAUUAUUUGUGGUCCUAGUAUGGCUCAAAUUCUCACAAUUUGAAUUCAAAUUUAUCAAAUGACCUUGGACGGUGAAACAACCAAAACCAAAGAUGUAGAUCCCGAUGAGAACUACAACUUUGUAGUUGAUGACCUUUUCAUUUAAACUUGUUUAGGGUCCCACAUAUUCAUUUUAAAAUCAUGAAAAGGAAUAUAAUACUAGAGGAAUGAAUAUGCCAUAUAGAAACAAGUGAUUUUGGAGUGGAGUGGUUAUAGGAGCUAUCCCACCACCACAAAGUGCGUGAAAAAUUGCGUGGCUACUGGGGGUGAAAGGACCUAGGAUGCUGCCUAGACGGGUGUGAAUAGGCAUUUUUGAAAAAUAACACCUUUAAAUAUGGAAACGAUUAGAGUGAGAGCUCUACAACAGAGUAAAUAAACCCCUCACAAGUUAACCAUAGAGUAUAUAACAAGUACUAAGUGAAUCUAGGAGCCUCAACCCUGCAACACCAAAGAUUAUAGUGAAGAACAAGAAAAAUCAGCUCAGCCCCUAAUACCGAGCUCCAAGCUUGCAGUUUUUUUAUUGCAAUCUUUUACUCCAAGUUGCAGGAACAUACUAAGAGUUCUAUCUCACAAAAUACACCUGCACACUAGCACAACACAAGAGGAUCACAAAUAUCAAACGAGAGAGAAUUGAGACAUGAUAUUGUUUUACUGAAGUUCGAACUCCGCCGAGUCCUACUCUCCGUUGAGGGGACUGCGAGCGACCCAACAAAGAUCAGCUCCAAAGGACCCACAAAAGUCAACUCUAGUCGAAGUCUUUUCUGACUCCUUUUAUUUUCCUUCUUCCACUAGUUGAUCCUUUCCCUUGCGGCAGUGGAAUCGACCCUUACAAACUUUUUGAGGCAUACCACAAGGAUUGAAGAGUCCAAGAGUAACAAAUGCAAAUCACGAGAUCAACAAUAUGCACAAGUGCUCAAGGGUGGCUUGCUCUCAAUUUUUUAAUUUCUCUCAGCCCACAAUUUGGAUUUUGCAAAUUGGAUCAAACACUCACUAAGAGAGGUUUGGAGAUUAUUCUCAUGGCCCAAAAACGUGUAUGAGAACCAGCGCAAUGCCAAGGGUUAGUUAGUUAGUAACCCCUUGAAAAACUAGCCAUUUUCUAGACGUUGGUCUGGUAUGAAUACCAGACAUGUUCGGUAUGACCAGCACAAUGCCAAGGGUUAGUUAGUUAGUUAGUUAGUUAGUUAGUUAGUUAGUUAGUUAGUUAGUUAGUUAGUUAGUUAGUUAGUUAAGAGCGCACGUGAGGCGUCAAAACUUCCAAUUCUCACCGUGACUUCCGACAACUAGAACUCCUGAGCCAUGUUGGAACUUCCAACUAACCAAACUUGAGAGCAUAGAAGGGUUGAUGUGACCAACCCCAUACCUGAUGCAUACCUGACAUGUCCAGUAUGCUCAGCCAUAGCAGGGAGUGUUAGCUCUUGACUCUCUCUCACUAAAACCUCACAAGGUUGCCUUGAGCACUUAUGAAUAAUCAUCUAUCAAUAUAAUGCAUCCCUCUUAAUAGUACAACAAACCUAUUAAUUAACUCAAGAUCAAAUGAAAAACAAGUUUGAACUGCUUGUGUUAAUUUCCUUCAAAUCCAAAUGUUGUAGCUCUCAAUCUUCAUCAAGUGAGGAUACCAACAUGUCAACUUUGAUUCUCUCCUUGAGCAUAGCCAUCCUAAGUAUGUGACUUGAUUCCAUUCAAAAUAUGCGAAUUAACUUCAAAUGCAUUAAGUCACUUCUAACAAUUUAUCCAAUAAAUAUUUGAUCCUUCACUUCAAUGAGAUCAUCAUAGCAUGAUUGAUACCUCAACUAAAUGUAAGUACUUUCUUCUUCACCCUAGCUAAGUUCCUCAGCCGCUAAGCCAUCGCUUGCCCUUCAUACUUGCCUAGUACCUCGAAGUCGUUCCUUGCUAUCUUCACCAUCUCAAGCCAUCAAGUCACACCUUGUAUCGGAUCAUUCAUCAAGCUUAUUUGUACAAUUGCCUUUUCAUUUCAAUGUAGCAAGCUUCAACUACAAAGAUCACUCCAUAUGAAUCCUUCAUGUCUCAUUAAUCAAUUCUUCAACAUACUUUAUUUUUCACAAAUAAUAGAAAUCCCACAAUGAAUAAGCCUUGCAUGAAUUAGAUUUGCAUUGUUGUCUAGUGUUUGAGUUCUUAUACAACAACGCAUCAUUUUGGCUUUAUGCAAUCUAUUCAAGUAUCUGUGAGAUAAUCAAUUUCCUGUGCAACACUUUGCAAAUAGGUUAGACCUUUAAUCACAUUGUCAUUCAAUCAUUCAAAACCCACUAUAGGGCUAGAUGCACUUCCAGGAGGCUUCUCAGAAUUAAAACCAUUUUUUGCUAUUUUUGGCCAACUUUUUGGAUUUAUGGAAAUCGUCAUCACCACUGGGUCAUGUUACCAACCGACAUUAAUAACCUACUGUUAGUGAUGACCAUGUCAUCAUCAAAUUCAAUGUCGGUUGCCAAAACCAGAGUGAUAGAGGGUUUAGAAUUAACAGUGAUAGAGGGUUUAGAACUAACACUGAAUAAGCUUAGGACUAAUGGUACUUUUGAAAAGUACAAGGGAAAGCUUGUGGCCAAGAAUUAUACCUAGAAAGGAUGCAAAUACUUCUUGAUACUAUUUCACCUAUUAGCUAUUGCUUGAUUGACCAUAAUUUGAGUGUUACUUUUCCUGACAACCUCACAUGGUAUUCUCAUUCAUCAGAUGGAUGUUAAGAUAGCCUUCCUAAAUUGGGAGCUAGAGGAGGAAGUCGAUAUGGAUAAGCCAGAUGAGUUUGUAGCAAAGGAUCAAGAAGGAAUGGUGUAUAAUUGGAAUCAUAACUCACGUGAUUAGAUACCAUCUAUAUUGAGGCUUAAUGGCUUUGUGAACUCUUAUGAAUUUAUCAGUGAUUGAAAAACCUAUACCGUCUAUUUUUGUGAACUGUGAUAAUCAAACAGUGAUAGUCAAAUAAAAUAGUUCAAAGGAUAACAUGGAGUCAACUAAACAUGUAAAGAGACGGUUGAAUUAUGUCAACAAAUUGAGGAACUCUUGAGUGAUAGAGUUAGACUAUGUCCAUACGUCUAAAUAUCUUGUAAACCAAUUCACAAAGGGGCUGUCAUGUAAUGUCAUAGAUGGUGCAUCAAGUGAGAUGGGCUUGAGACGAAUUCUACCAUAGGGGCAACCUGUCCUAGUGAUCGAAGAUCCCGUAAAGUAGGAUGGUGAAACAAGCUAGUCGUUGACCCAGGAGGAAAAACCCUUGACAAGGUCCAUGUCAUCUAAGAUCAUUUCAUUCCUAUUUCGUAUGGCAGAUUGGUUUAUACCUUUAUGUGAUCUGAAUAUCUUAUUAAAGUAGAGAUGUUAUCCUACAGAACAUCUUAUGGGAAACACACCUAUAUAAGUUCGACUGCUAGUCACAAUCUAUGAAAUUUGCCCAUGAAAGACUCUAGGGUUUGACUUAUAUGCUCCGAUCCUAUAAGAAUGAUUGCUUUUGACAGCCUACUAACAUUAAAGGACUUCGGUAAACUUAUUAUUCAUACAAAAAAUUAUCAAGUCAAGAUAUAGUCCAUUGUUCUGUUUUUAAUUCAAUUAAAUUAAAUAAACUCUAAAACCCAAUGGGCUAGUGUGUGCACAUGGAUCUUGCGCAACCACUCGCUUCUGUUCCACGAAAUCUGAACUGCACCUACUCCAUCUUCCCAACGACACACAAGCGAACAAUUAAUGUGUCUACUUCUUGCUGAAUGUUUAUAGGACACCACUACAAACAUCUUUCUACUUCACAUGUGGUCUACUGCUGUAAGCAACUCCCUAUGCCGACUCAGGGCACUCCCAAUGCAAGACUCUAUCACAGAGUCCAAGACAAUUAAUUACAUAUUAUUUAUGGUAUUUUGCUGAUGUGGCAGCAUAUUAAUUGAAGAAAAAGGUAGAAAAAAUAAGACUCCAAGUCUUAUUUAGACUCCAAGUCCACAUUGUUCGAGGUAAUAAAUAACUUUAGACUCCAUGUUAGAGUCUGCAUUGUGAGUGCCCUCAUAGCGAGCAAGGCACCGCUAGUACCCCAGGCGUAGGUCCUGCCCCAGGGUUAUUAUGAUAUCACCACCGGAAAACCAACCUUUGCCGAGAGCCACUGAGUUUGCCGAGAGCGAAAACACGGGAGCUCGGCAACCAAGACGUUUGCCGAGAGCAACGCUCGGCAAAGGAUGGCUCACGGCAAAGGAACAACUUGCCGUGAGCCAGAAUCUCGGCAAACAAAAACGCUCGGCGAACAGAGUCAUUUCGGCGAGAGGGCCUCUCGGCAAAGAAAGGCUCACGGCAAACUGGGUCUUUGCCGUGAGCUGAGCUCUCGGCAAAAGGCAUUUAUCGGUAAAGAGCUGCUGUCGUUACCCAGUUUCACGACGUGAGAUCUUUGCCGAGAGCCCCGCCGUUAAGGCUCUCGGCAAAACUCUUUGCCGAGCGCCCCUCUCGGCAAAGAGGCUAUCCAUAUUUCAUGUUUCUCUUUUCCCUAAUUACUCUCUCCAAUUAAAUUUAUUUAUUUUUUCUUUCAUUUGCUCCAAAGUUUUUUCUCUCUACACAUACUACGUGUUGUUCAAUAUUAAUUUUUUGUUUAUUUUUGUAAUUAUUUGCUAUAUAAUUAAUUAGUUGCAAAUUUGAACAGUGGGUGUUGUAUAGUAUAUACUCUCUCCAAUUAAAAAUAUUGUAAUUAUCUUUUUCUCUCUCCAAUGCUACGGGUCCACGACUGCACUCGUCUUUGGCUCCGGUCUCCUCCCCUCCUCGCCUCCUUUUUAUAUAUCUCUUGGAUGAACUCUUGGAUGAAUAGUGAGACAAAAAGCUUCAUCCAAGUCCGACACCAAUUGCAGCACCCCUACCCACUCUGGGAACCUUUGCCUUGCGGUGCUCUAUAAAGCCGGUCGGCCGACCGUACACCACACUAUAGCGAACGUGGCUGUGCUUCGCCUCGUCCAACUCUGACCGAGUGCGCCCCUUCCAUCCUUGUAGCCCUCGCCUUCAUCGGUCCUUGGCACCCGCGCAAGCUGCGAUGGCCGUCCCGAGCAGCGUGAGGCGCCUCUAUCUUCCCUGUACAUAAAAUAUAGUCUGAACUGAAAAUGAGAUAACCCACAUCGUGUCCCUUUUUCUUUUCUUCUUUUGGCACAUACAAGAAUAGAGAUUUCAGUUCUCUUAAUUCUAGCAAAGAGGUAGAAGAGGACAUAGAAUUUCUAAGAGCUAGUGAGUAUCCAUUACAAAUUACAAACACUGUUACAUACUAAUUAGUUUUGGAGUUCCAAACUUUUUCUAUAAUCAUUAGAGAGCAUAAACUCUAACAGGGUAAAAUUUUGUAUUUUUUGACACCGUUUGCUAUUUAUAAAUUAUUUUUCAGUAUAUUCUUUGCCGAGUGCUUCUUGAAAGCUCUCGGCAAAGACUUUUUUACCGAGAGCUAUUCGGUCAGCUCUCGGCGCAGAUUUCUUUUUUUUUUCAGGAAUACCCUUUGCCGAGAGCCUCCUGAACAAGCUCUCGGCAAAGAGUGUAUUUUAUUUUUUAUCUCAGUUAGAUAAACAAUAGGAAAUUAAUAUUUUUUAAAACAUCGUGCUUUGCCGAGAGUGGCUCUCGGCAAAGACUUUUUAUAAAUUACUUUGUAGUGUAGUUUUUCAAACAAAGCAAAAUUUAAAAAAAAUAAUAUUUGGAGAAGUGGUCAACAGGCAAACUUUGCCGAGAGCCCUAUCCAAGUGGCUCUCGGCAAAAAGGUCGUUUGCCGAGCACUGCGCUCGGCAAAGGCUGUUGGCUCUCGGCAAAUAGAUCAGGAUACUUAGGCACUCAGCCCAGCCUGACUCCCUGCACGCGCCCGGCUUCAUUCUUCACCGCCACCGCAGCCUGCUCGCCGCCCAGCUUGUUCUAACCGCCACCGCCGCCCGCUCGCCGCCGGCGCGCCGCUCGCUGCCGGUGCGCCCCUGCCCCCGCUCGCUGCCGGUGCGCCCCCGCCCCCGCGAGCUCGCACCCCUACCCCUACCCCCGCGCACGCGCGCCGCCUUGCGCUCGGCCUCGCUUGCGCCGCCGCGCGCGCCGCCGUUGCCCACGCGCUGCUCGCCGUCGUGCGCUGCUCCCUCUCGAUCUCCUCGCGCCCCUACCCCCGGGCGUGGUUCCUGCCGACACCGCCCGCGGACGUCCUUCUUCUCGCGGCCCGGCUCGGCUCUGCCUCCACUGGGGCUUUGGAUCUCGGCCACCGCUCCUCGUGAGUCCCUUCUCUGGGGGUCAUUGUAUUUUUUCUCGGCAUAGCUGAAUUAUGCUUAGUUGUAGUAGUAUUUUUUCUCUGUUCUUUCUGAGGGUCAUUGUUAGUUUAACAUUAGAUCCGAAUACUAUGUUUUACUGUUACUUAAAUGUGCUCAUGUUUAAAACAGUUCAGCUAUGAUGUGCUCAUGUUUAAAUCGCUUGUGAGGUAAAUUUAGGGUUCAGUGAGGUAAAUUUAGGGUAAAUUUAAUUGUUCGCUUGUGUUUGUGUGAUAUCUGUGGUUGCCGGCCAUCGAGCCGUUUGUUUUUGUAGGUUUGGAAAACCUCACCCUGCAGGGGAGGUGCUGCCGAAAUUUUGAAUUGAUGAUCGUGUAUCUUUUUGAUUUUCAGAGAAUAGUUUGUUUCGAGGCUAGCCAGAGUACCUCGCCUUCCUCGCUGUUGCAGAUCUGCCCACACCGUUUCGCCUCGCCUCUGCACCGAGAUGCCACGGCCCCGCUAGCCUAACGUCACCGCCACGUAAGGUAUAACCACUCUUUAUUUGUCUUGGUCAUCUAUCUCCACGUAACUUAGUUAGGCAUCUCCCGUUCGAAAUAGAUACGGUUAGAAAUAUGCAGAUCUUUGCAUAUCAAUAACCGUAUCUGUUUCGAAUUGUCCAUGUUUUUUUGGACAGCCCGAGGAUGUGUAGAUGAUGUUAGUUUCCAUGGUCUGCUCUGAUCUGAGACAGAGUUUCGAUAGUACCUCCAUGUUGUUCUUCGGAUACACAAUCUCCGUGUCGGGACGUGUAUUUGGAGAACAGCGAGGAGGUCCUACCAAAAUUCUGACUCAGAUCGGAGCAGACCAUGGAAACUAACAUCAUCUACACAUCCUCGGGUGGGAUUAGGAUCUAUCCUUACCUAUUAGAUGGUAGGAACGACGUGUAGAUGCAAGUCCAUAGUUAUAUUUAUUACUUGGGCAUAUAUAUGUUAGAGGAUGGAUGACCGUGAGUGGAUGUACUCGGGCCGCCGGAGCUCUCGUGAGAUUACCAGAGAAUGGGUCGACAUGACCGAGGCUUUUCAUCAAGCAAGCAUUUGACCAGGCUCCAGGAGCGCGUGCUGUUUUUUGUCCAUGCAGCAAUUGUAAGAACAGAAAAAGGCAAACAAAGGAGGGGAUGACUUCACAUCUGGCUAGGAAUGGAUUUAUGAAAAACUAUACCCAGUGGACCCACCACGGUGAAGCCGAUCGUGAGAGAGAGGAGGUGGUGAGACCACAUGUCGAGCAUUAUAAUGCUGAUGCUAAUGCCGGGGUAGCAGCUUGGUUAGAUGACUAUCACGCAGCACACUUCGCUGAAGGACGUCGAGAGGGAGAGGGGGAGGAGGAGCCAGAAGAAAGCGCAAAGGCGUAUUACAACAUGUUGUCUGCGGCAGGGAAACCCCUUCAUGGCCACACACAAGUUUCAAAGCUUGAUGGCAUUUCUCGCUUAAUGGCCUUAAAGUCCCAGUUCAACCUCAGUCGAGAGAACUUUGAUGAAAUGUUGACAGUUAUUGGCUCCAUCCUUCCGGCCGGUCACCUUUUGCCACAGAACAUGUACGAAUCACAGAAGGUUCUUCGUGCACUUAAGAUGCCGUAUGAGCAGAUACAUGCUUGUCCGAAGGGCUACGUCCUCUUUAGAAAAGCACACAAAGAUGCACAGUAUUGUCCAAAGUGUAAAUCCUCUAGGUAUCUGGAGGUAGACUCUGGUGAGGGUGAGAAGAGGCAGAGUUCGUAUCCCGCAAAAAUCCUACGGUACCUUCCAUUUAUACCGAGGAUCCAACGACUAUUCAUGACCGAGGAGUCCGCGAAACAGAUGACAUGGCACAAAAAUGGGAAAAGAUACAAUACUGACAAGAUGGUGCAUCCAUCUGAUGGUGAAGCAUGGCAUCACUUUGAUAACAUUCAUCGUGACAAAGCUACAGAGGCACGUAAUGUGCGUGUUGCACUGGCAACAGAUGGGUUCAAUCCUUAUGGAAUGGCCGCUGUCCCAUAUACUUGUUGGCCUGUGUUUGUUAUCCCCCUUAAUCUCCCCCCUGGGGUCUCCUUCCAACGACAGAAUGUGUUCUUAUCAUUGAUAAUUCCAGAACACUCGGGGAAUAACAUGGGUGUGUUCAUGGAGCCUUUGUUCGAUGAACUUGUCCAUGCUUGGGACCAUGGUGUAUGGACAUACGAUCGAGCUACAAAGACAAACUUCAACAUGCAUGUUUGGUAUCAAUACUCCAUGCAUGACUUUCUGGCAUAUGGGAUAUUCAGCGCUUGGUGUGUUCAUGGGAAGUUUCCAUGCCCCCUGUGCAAGACAGCUACGCAGUUCAAUUGGCUUCAAAAGGGUGGCAAAUACUCCGCGUUCGACAAACAUCGACAAUUUCUCCCGCCCAACCAUCCAUUCAGACGAGACAUCAAGAACUUUACUAAAGGUGUCAUGGUUACAGACCCCGCACCAGAGAUGAUGACCGGUGCCGAGGUUUAUGAUGAGAUAAAUGCUCUCCAGAUCAAUGCAAAAGAUGGUAAGUUCGUGGGAUAUGGUGUGGAGCAUAUGUGGACUCAUAAGUCGCCAUUGAUGAUGCUCCCCUAUUAUAAGGACCUUCUUCUUCCACACAACAUUGAUGUAAUGCACACCGAGAAGAAUGUUGCCGAGGCGCUUUGGGCAACGGUCAUGGACAUUCCUGAUAAGACAAAGGACAAUGUAAAGGUGAGAGUGGACCUGGCAACGAUAUGUGAUAGACCGAAGCUACACAUGCAACCUAGAAGCGGCAAAAAAUGGACAAGGCCUAAGGCCGAUUACAGAUUGAAACAGGAAGAAAAGAGAGAAGUAUUUGAAUGGACCAAAAGAAUAAUGUUCCCCGAUGGUUAUGCAGCAAAUUUGAGGAGGGGAGUCAACUUAUCUACUUUGCGGAUCAACGGCCUGAAGAGUCAUGACUAUCACAUAUGGAUUGAGUGUCUUCUUCCGGCGAUGCUUCGAGGCUAUGUCCCUGAGCAUUUGUGGAAGACGCUAUCCGAGUUGAGCUAUUUCUUCCGCUAGCUUUGUGCCAAGGAGUUAUCUCGUAGCGUGACUGCAGAAUUGGAAAAAAUGGCACAUGUGUUGCUCUGUAAGUUAGAGAAGAUCUUUCCACCCAGCUUCUUUAAUGCCAUGCAGCAUUUGAUUUUGCACCUCCCGUAUGAGGCACGAAUGUGGGGGCCCGUGUGGGCCCGUUGGUGCUAUCCAAUCGAGAGAUGUCUAAAGGUUCUUCGGAAGAAAUGCAGAAACAAAUGCAAAAUUGAGGCUUCCAUAGCAGAGGCAUUCGUUCUAGAGGAGGUUACUAACUUCACACAAGCAUACUAUGGUGACAAGCUUCCUAGCGUGCAUAAUAGACCCCCUCGUUACAAUGCUGGUGAAAAUGAAUCAAAACUCAAUCUUUUCCAAGGGCAAUUCGGAAGUGCAAGUUAUGGGACCUCAUUGUUGUUGAAAAAUGAAGAGUGGUGCACAAUCAUGAUAUAUGUCUUGACCAAUCUUAACGAAAUGGAGCCAUACAUGCAGUAAGUGGCUUCUUGCACGAACUUGUUGAAAGGUCCUAAUAUGGCUAGAGGGGGGGUGAAUAGCCUAUUUAAAAAAUUCUACAAACCCACUAGAGCAAGAGGUUAGUAAAUAACAAAGCGAAGCUUUUUGCUCUAGCUCUAAUGGGGUGUUUGCAAGCCACCUAUCCAACAAUUCUAGUUGAUAUAAUCACUAGGCACACAAGAGCUAUGUUACUACUUACACUAGAAAGCUACCUAAAGUUUCUAUACAAGUAAGUAAGCUACUCUAGUUUGCGGGAAUGUAAAAGAGAUGGUUUGAACUUUAUACCGCCGCGUAGGGGGGAUGAACCAAUCAAUAAUAUGAAGUCCAAUCACCGGGAGAAAUCCAAUGAACAAUCACAAUGAAGACACACAAUUUUUCUCCCGAGGUUCACGUGCUUGCCGGCACGCUACGUCCCCGUUGUGUCGACCAACACUUGGUGGUUCGGUGGCUAAGAGGUGUAGCACGAACCUCGUCCUCACUAGGACACCACAAGAACCUACCCACAAGUGAGGUAGCUCAAUGACACGAGCAAUCCACUAGAGUUACCUUUCGGCUCUCCGCCGGGGAAGGUACAAGACCCCUCACAAUCACCGGGAGAUGGCCACAAACAAUCACCAACUCGUGCCAAUCCUCCUCCGCUGCUCCAAGCCGUCUAGGUGGCGGCAACCACCAAGAGUAACAAGAAAACCGCAGCUAGAACGAUCCCCAAGUGCCACUAGAUGCAAUCACUCAAGCAAAUGCACUUGGAAUCACUCCCAAUCUCACAAAGAUGUAUAAUCUAUGAAGGAGAUGAGUGGGAGGUGUUUGCUUAGUCUCACAAGGAUGUCAAGUAUGCUAGAAUGCCAAGAGAGUUAGCCCCAAGCCAGCCAAACACGAAUAUAUAGCCCCUCAAACAAAUAGAGCCGUUGGCUCUUUCACUGGGCAAACUGCGGGGUCACCGGACGCUCUUAAAGGGGCACCGGACGCUCAACACCAGCGUCCGGUGCUCCAACGUCAGCCACGUGUCACGCUCGUGUCAGAAUCUAACGGUCACCUGCAGUGCACCGGACGCUGAGCAAGUGAGCACCGGACGGUCCGGUGCACACCGGACUCAUGCGCAGAGAGCUCCGCAAACUCGCAGGGUCACCGGACGCAAGCCACCGGACGCACCCUGAGCGUCCGGUGCUCACCGGACUCAUGCGCAGAGAGGUUUGCAAAACAUCCUCACACCGGACGCACACCACCGGACGCUCCAAGCUGCGUCCGGUGUCUAUCGUCCGGUGCCUAACCCUAACCGAGUCAGGCAGCCUGCACACCGGACGCUCAGACACAGCGUCCGGUGCCUCUGAGCCAGCGUCCGGUGAGUGUUCCUCAGCGAGAAACACUCCCGCGACUUCUCCAAUUUUCCCACCGGCGCAAUAGAAAGUAUGCACUUCAUUUUCUCAAAAGCGCCGAAUCCCGCCUCGCAAGCUCGGCGGGAGGGAGAGAGGAACCCAUCCUCUCUCUAACCUUCAAACUCCACCUCCUUCUCAAAGUGUGCCAACACCACAACGUGUAAACCAACAUGUGCACGUGUGUUAGCAUUUUCACAAUCAUUUUCUUUGAAGGAGUUAAGUUAGCUUACUAGGUUCUAAAUGCAAGCACAUGAACAAUGACACCUAGUGGCACUUGAUAACCGCUUAGCCAAAGCAUUCCCCUCUUUAUAGUACGGCUAUCUAUCCUAAAUGUGAUCACACCCUCUAUGGUGUCUUGAUCACCAAAACCAAAACCCUAAGCAAUACCUUUGCCUUGAACUCCAUAGGGUUUUGUUUUUCUCUUUCUUCUUUUCCAAGUUGAGCACUUGAUCAUCUUGUGGUCAUCACCAUCAUCACCAAGAUCAUCACUUGCUCCAUCACUUGGCAUGGACCAACCUCAUUAAGUCUACACAUAUUUAGCAUAGAGGUUAGUACUAGGGUUUCAUCAAUUAUCCAAAACCAAACUAGGGCUUUCAAUCUCCCCCUUUUUGGUAAUUGAUGACAACCCUUUUUACAAAGAUUUUCAAUAAAAAUUUUCUUGGAUUCAUGUUGCUUGCCCAAGCAUUUUACCAUGUGCAAAGGUUAUGGACAAGUUUCAUAAACCCAAAUUGGUAGCAAUUGCUCCCCCUACAUAUGUGCUAAGAGUUUGGAUUUGAAAGCUUGCACAUAUGCUUGAAUAGGAAAAAUAGGAGUCAAUUUCUACCAAAUGAUGCUAAGGUGUAGAGAAUGGACCUUUGAAGCGUGAUACCAAUCGGAGUUGCCAAUUUACACCAUCCUUAGCACCAUUAGUAACUAGACAUUCACGAAACUAGAACACCCCGUGAGAUCAACAUUAUAAACAAGGUUCUAAUACUACUUGUGAAGCAAAUAAAGGUCUAGUUACACUACCUAUGUAUGCUAGUUCUUCAUUUUAUCAAGCAAACCUAUAACUAGCAUACACCACACAAGCAAGGUAUCAGAGAGAAAGCUUCUAAAGCUAAAUGCAAAUGCAAGCAACCAUAUGUGAUGCACAUACAAAUGCAACAUACAAGUUUAUGAGCUUGCUCCCCCUACUUGUGUGCUUCAAAAAAUUUUAAUUGAUCCUCUUCUUUUAUCAUCUUAAUUGAUCCCCUUCUUUUAUCAUGGUACCUUCUUUUAUUUGAUCCCCUUCUUUUAAUCUUUGGGAAAUUCUCUCCCCCUUUGUCAUCAAAGACCACAAAAGGUGAGCUCAAAUUUUAGAAAGGUUAGUGUGAAACCAUGUGAAGUGAGAUCAUUUUACCAAAUUGGUCCAAUCUAGAUUACUUGCCUAAGAUAUUUAACUCGGUUUGAUCCAAGGACAAGCUUCUUCACACCUCCAAAUAAGGGUUAUCUUGUACCAUGUUGAGUUAAACACUUAUAGCUCAUAUUCUAGAUCAAACUCUAGGAUUGCAAGCCAACAAACAUGUCAUAUGCUACCACUAGAUCAAGUCAAGCAUAAAAGCAAUAGUGGUACCAUACAAGCAUCAAAUUCAUUUGAUUUUCAUGAAUGAGCCUAAGACAUGUAAGGAAUGACUAGAUGCACUAAACAAGUCCUUAGCAAAGAUGGAUGACAUGUCAAACAAUUUCACCUUGCUUUGCUCGAAGGAGAGGCAAGUCAUAAAGUGGGGGUGCAUCAACACAUAUUUGAGAAGUCAAGUAUGUUCAAUUCAUUCCUUAGCUUGCAAAACCUCUUCUCAUCAAGUGGCUUGGUGAAUAUGUCGGCAAGUUGAUCAUCGGUGCCUAUACUCUCAAUGCAAAUGUCCCCUUUUUGUUGAUGAUCUCUUAUGAAGUGAUGGCGGACAUCUAUGUGCUUUGUUCUUGAGUGUUGAACCGGAUUGUUGGUGAGCUUCACGGCACUUUCAUUGUCACAUAGCAAUGGCACUUGUUUGAAGUUGAUUCCAAAAUCCUUCAAUGUUGCCUUCAUCCAUAGAAUUUGUGCACAACAACUACCGGCCGCAAUGUACUCCGCUUCGGCGGUUGAUAGUGCAACACUAUUUUGCUUCUUGGAUGACCAUGAGACAAGUGAUCUUCCCAAUAGUUGACAUGUGCCCGAUGUGCUUCUUCUUUCAACUUUGCAUCCCGCAUAGUCCGAAUCGGAAUAUCCAACAAGUUCAAACUUUGCACCUUUGGGAUACCACAAACCAACAUUUUGUGUAUGCUUCAAGUACCUCAAUAUUCUCUUUGUUGCUUUCCAAUGACUUUCUCUUGGUGAGGCUUGGAAUCUUGCACACAUGCAUACACUAAACAUGACAUCCGGUCUUGAUGCGGUCACAUAGAGUAGGCUUCCAAUCAUGGACCGAUACAACUUUUGAUCCACCAUAUUUCCACUUGUAUCACUGUCUAGGCUUCCAUUUGUUCCCAUUGGUGUGCUAAUUGAUUUUGCAUCAUCCAUACCAAACUUCUUGAGCAUGUCUUUUAUGUACUUGCCUUGACUCACAAAUGUGCCAUUUUUCAAUUGCUUGAUUUGAAGACCAAGGAAGUAACUAAGUUCUCCAAUCAUUGACAUCUCAAACUCAUUAGCCAUCAUGUUUCCAAACUCCUCACAAAAUUCUUGGUUGGUUGAUCCAAAUAUGAUAUCAUCAACAUAUAUUUGCAACACAAACAAGUCUUUGCCAAUCUUCUUGGUGAAGAGAGUGGUGUCAACCUUGCCCAUCUUGAAACCUUUAGAGAGUAAGAAAUCUCUCAAUCUCUCAUACCAUGCUCUAGGUGCUUGCUUCAAACCAUACAAUGCCUUUCUUAGCUUGUAAACAUGGUUGGGUUUCUUGUCAUCUUCAAAACCGGGAGGUUGCUCAACAUAUACUUCUUCAUUGAUAUAUCCAUUGAGAAAUGCACUCUUGACAUCCAUUUGGUAUAGCUUGAUGUUAUGAGCACAAGCAUAGGCCAACAAGAUCCUAAUUGCUUCCAAUCUUGCAACCGGGGCAUAUGUUUCACCAAAGUCAAGACCUUCAACUUGAGUGUAACCUUGUGCUACCAAUCUUGCUUUGUUCCUUACAACUAUCCCAUCUUGAUCUUGUUUGUUGCGAAAGACCCAUCUAGUACCAAUGACAUUAUGAUCACUAGGUCUCUCAACUAACUCCCAUACUUGAUUUCUCUUGAAAUUGUUAAGCUCUUCAUGCAUAGCAUUAACCCAAUCAACAUCUCUCAAUGCUUCAUCAAUCUUCUUUGGCUCAAUGUGAGACACAAAGGAGAAAUGCUCACAAAAUGAUGCUAAUCUUGAUCUAGUUUGCACUCCUCUUUGAAUGUCACCUAUGAUAUGAUCCAAUGGAUGAUCUCUUGCAAUAUUUGUUGGUUGGAGUAUUUGCACUUGAUUGCUUGCACUUGGUUGAUCAUGAGAUGAUGUACUAGCUUGUUGAUCUUGCACUUGUGUACCACUUGUACUAGCUUGAUUUUGAUCAUGUGAACCACAAGCUUGCACAUUAGAGGUAGGAAUCACUUGAUCUUUGUCAUCUUCAUCAAUCACCUCUCUAGGCCUUAAAUCACCAAUAUCCAUAUUUUUCAUUGCAUCGGCCAAUUGAGUGCCUCUCACAUCAUCUAGAUUUUCUUCUUCCUCUUGAGAGCCAUUUGUUUCAUCAAACUCAACAUCAUGCACCUCCUCAAGAGUACCACUAGCCAAAUUCCAAACUCUAUAAGCUUUGCUAGUAGUUGAGUAACCAAGCAAGAAUCCUUCAUCACAUUUCUUCUCAAAUUUACUCAAUCUAGUGCCUUUCUUCAAUAUGUAGCAUUUGCAACCAAAAACCCGAAAGUAUGCAAUGUUGGGCUUUCUUCCAUUCAAGAGCUCAUAUGGUGUCUUCUCCAUCAUUGGGUGACAAUAGAGUCGGUUGCUAUAGUAGCAAGCCGUGUUGAUUGCUUCGGCCCAAAAAGAAUGACUCACAUUGUAUUCACUCAACAUUGAUCUUGCCAUGUCAAUCAAGGUUCUAUUCUUCCUCUCAACAAGACCAUUUGAUUGUGGAGUGUACUUGGCCGAGAAUUGAUGCCUAAUGCCAAAUUCAUCACAAAGCUCAUCAACUCUUGUGUUCUUGAAUUCACUUCCAUUGUCACUUCUCACUUUCUUGAUGGUUGUUUCAAACUCAUUGUGUACUCUCUUGACAAAUGAUUUGAAGGUUGCAAAAGCAUCACUUUUGUCACUAAGAAAGAAUACCCAUGUAUAUCUUGUGAAAUCAUCCACUAUCACAAAUCCAUAUUUAUUUCCACCAAUGCUUGUGUAUGUGGUUGGUCCAAAUAAGUCCAUGUGCAACAACUCAAAUGCCUUGCAUGUGCUCAUGAUGCUCUUCUUUGGAUGAGUGUUGCCAACUUGCUUUCCGGCUUGACAUGCACUACAAAGCUUGUCUUUCUCAAAUGUGACAUCUUUCAAGCCUCUAACAAGAUCAUGCUUAACUAACUUGUUCAAUUGUUUCAUACCAACAUGACCAAGCCUUCUAUGCCAUAACCAACCCAUGCUAGAUUUAGUGAGCAAGCAUGUUGACAAUUGAGCUUCACUUGCAUUGAAAUCAACCAAGUAUAGAUUCUCAUAUCUAAAGCCUUUGAAUAUCAAGUUUGAGCCAUCUACACUUAUGAUCUCUACAUCAUCAACUCCAAAUAUGCAUUUGAAACCAAGAUCACAAAGUUGAGCUACGGAUAGCAAAUUGAAGUUCAAGCUCUCUACUAGUAGCACAUUGGAAAUGCUCAAGUCAUUGGAUAUAGCAAUUUUACCAAGCCCUUUGACCUUGCCUUUGCCAUUGUCACCAAAUGUGAUACUAUCAACACCAUUGUCAUCAUUUGGAUUGAUUGAAUUGAACAUUCUUGAAUCACCGGUCAUGUGUUGUGUGCACCCACUAUCAAGCACCCAAUGCCUUCCUCCGGCUUUAUAGUUUACCUACAAAACAAAUCAAUGUUUCUUAGGUACCCAUACUUGCUUGGGUCCUUGGAGGUUAGUGACUAAGCUUUUUGGUACCCAAAUGGCCUUCUUCUUUGGACCCACAAUUGGUGUACCAACAAACUUAGCAUGCACACCCUUCUCACCCUUGGUAAGCACAUAACAAGAAUCAAAAGGAAUGUAAGGUACAUUAGCAAUUUUCUUGUUCUUGUUCAUUUUGUUGCAAUUAAGCUCUAGGUGCCCAACUUGCUUGCACUUGUUGCAAUACCAACCAUUGUUUUUCACAAAGCUAGGCUUGUGAGUUGCAAAAGCUUUCUUGCCCUUCUUGGGGGUAUAGCCUAGUCCCUCUUUGUUGAGAGAAAACCUUUGGCUACCCAAGCACUUUAGCAAGCGGGCCUCACCACCAUAGGCUUUGCCUAGGGCGUGAGUGAGCUCAUCCACCUCUCUCUUGAGAGUCUCAUUCUCAUCCUUUAGUGAGGUAUCACAAGUGACACUAACACUAGAAGUAGAGGUAGAGUUGAUGGUGGUGGAUGAAGGCCUACAUGAAGAGUUAGUGGCAACAACAAUAGGUGGGUUGGGUGAUUCUUUAAUUAAGUCACAUGUUGUGCCCACAUCACAUGAUACAACAACCUUUUCCUUGUUCUCUUCUAACAACAAGGAGUGAGCUUUCUCAAGCUUGGUGUGAGCCUUGCCAAGCUUCUCAUGGGCUUCCACUAGCCUCUCAUGAUUAGCAUUGAGCUCAUCAAAGGAUUGCUCAAGAGCUUUUAACUUCUUGGCCAAUUCUUUGCACUUCUUGUUUUUAGAUUGAAUGAGAGAAUCGGCUUGUUCUAACAUGUCCAUGAGUUGUUCAUUAGUGAAUUCAUUUUCAUCAUCACUAUCACUAUCAUGUUCAUGUUCACUUUCACUUUCACUCUCAUCAUAUUGUACCUUGUGGCCCUUGGCCAUGAAGCAUGAAGGAGUGUCGAAGAGUGAUGGCUUGUUGUUGAUAGCAAUGCUAGCAAGUGCCUUCUUCUUGGAUGCUUUGUCAUCAUCACUUGAAUCAUCAUCCGAAGAGGCAUCACUAUCCCAUGUCACAACAUAGGAUCCACCCUUCUUCUUCUUUUUGAAGACCAUCUUCUUCUCCUUCUUUUCUUUCUUUUCCUUCUUGUUCUUCUUGUCAUGCUCAUCAUUGUCACUGUUGUAAGGACAAUCCGCCACAAUAUGAUCGGGGCUCUUGCACUUGUAGCAUAGCCUCACAUGCUCCUUGUUUUUGAAGUAAUCUCUUCUCUUUCUUGUGUGAUAGCCCUUCUUCUUCAUCAUCUUGCCAAACUUGCGGACGAAGAGUGCUAGUGCUUCAUCAUCACUAUCAUCAUUAGAGCACUCCUCAUCACUUGAUUCUUCCUUCUUGGCCUUGCCCUUGUUCUUGCUCUUGGAUGAAGAACUAGCUUUGAAUGCUACACUCUUCUUCUUCUUGUCAUCAUCAUCCUUCUUUAUGACCUCAUCAUCAUCAUUAUCGUUAUAUUGAUCUUCGGUCAUGACAUCUCCAAGUACCUCAUUGGGAGAUACACCGGUCAAUCCACCUCUAAAGAUGAUUGUUCUCAAUGUCUUGAACCUCUUGGGCAAGCACAUCAAGAACUUGUGAAUGAAGUCCUCAUCCUUUACUUUCUCACCAAGGCCCUUGAGAUCAUUGAUGAUGACUUGGAGCCUAUAGAACAUCUCCGGUAUAGACUCAUCAUCCUUCAUCUUGAAGUUUGAAAGCUUGUCCUUGAGCAUGUACAACUUGGCACUUUUUACCGUUGUAGUUCCCUCAUAUGUUUCUUCAAGUCUUGUCCAUACUUCACUAGCCUUCUCAAGAUCUUUGACUUGUUCAAAUACUUUUGAAUCAAUGCCAUUGUAUAUUGUGUUGAGAGCCAUAGUAUUGCAUUGCUUGUUUGCUCUCUCAUUGUCGGUGGGGUUAGCGGGGUCAAGGAUCACAAAAUCAUUCUCCGUGACUUCCCACACUCUAUCAUUGAUUGAUCCAAGGUACAUCUUCAUUUUUCUCUUCCAAUAGUCAAAAGAGCUUGUGCCAUCAAAGAACGGUGGUUUGCCCCCAACAUGGUUGAACACUAUUUGAGCCAUAAUUUGAGCACCGAGGUUGUUAAGCCUUCACAAACGGUGACCACGGCUUUGAUACCACUUGAAAGGUCCUAAUAUGGCUAGAGGGGGGGUGAAUAGCCUAUUUAAAAAAUUCUACAAACCCACUAGAGCAAGAGGUUAGUAAAUAACAAAGCGAAGCUUUUUGCUCUAGCUCUAAUGGGGUGUUUGCAAGCCACCUAUCCAACAAUUCUAGUUGAUAUAAUCACUAGGCACACAAGAGCUAUGUUACUACUUACACUAGAAAGCUACCUAAAGUUUCUAUACAAGUAAGUAAGCUACUCUAGUUUGCGGGAAUGUAAAAGAGAUGGUUUGAACUUUAUACCGCCGCGUAGGGGGGAUGAACCAAUCAAUAAUAUGAAGUCCAAUCACCGGGAGAAAUCCAAUGAACAAUCACAAUGAAGACACACAAUUUUUCUCCCGAGGUUCACGUGCUUGCCGGCACGCUACGUCCCCGUUGUGUCGACCAACACUUGGUGGUUCGGUGGCUAAGAGGUGUAGCACGAACCUCGUCCUCACUAGGACACCACAAGAACCUACCCACAAGUGAGGUAGCUCAAUGACACGAGCAAUCCACUAGAGUUACCUUUCGGCUCUCCGCCGGGGAAGGUACAAGACCCCUCACAAUCACCGGGAGAUGGCCACAAACAAUCACCAACUCGUGCCAAUCCUCCUCCGCUGCUCCAAGCCGUCUAGGUGGCGGCAACCACCAAGAGUAACAAGAAAACCGCAGCUAGAACGAUCCCCAAGUGCCACUAGAUGCAAUCACUCAAGCAAAUGCACUUGGAAUCACUCCCAAUCUCACAAAGAUGUAUAAUCUAUGAAGGAGAUGAGUGGGAGGUGUUUGCUUAGUCUCACAAGGAUGUCAAGUAUGCUAGAAUGCCAAGAGAGUUAGCCCCAAGCCAGCCAAACACGAAUAUAUAGCCCCUCAAACAAAUAGAGCCGUUGGCUCUUUCACUGGGCAAACUGCGGGGUCACCGGACGCUCUUAAAGGGGCACCGGACGCUCAACACCAGCGUCCGGUGCUCCAACGUCAGCCACGUGUCACGCUCGUGUCAGAAUCUAACGGUCACCUGCAGUGCACCGGACGCUGAGCAAGUGAGCACCGGACGGUCCGGUGCACACCGGACUCAUGCGCAGAGAGCUCCGCAAACUCGCAGGGUCACCGGACGCAAGCCACCGGACGCACCCUGAGCGUCCGGUGCUCACCGGACUCAUGCGCAGAGAGGUUUGCAAAACAUCCUCACACCGGACGCACACCACCGGACGCUCCAAGCUGCGUCCGGUGUCUAUCGUCCGGUGCCUAACCCUAACCGAGUCAGGCAGCCUGCACACCGGACGCUCAGACACAGCGUCCGGUGCCUCUGAGCCAGCGUCCGGUGAGUGUUCCUCAGCGAGAAACACUCCCGCGACUUCUCCAAUUUUCCCACCGGCGCAAUAGAAAGUAUGCACUUCAUUUUCUCAAAAGCGCCGAAUCCCGCCUCGCAAGCUCGGCGGGAGGGAGAGAGGAACCCAUCCUCUCUCUAACCUUCAAACUCCACCUCCUUCUCAAAGUGUGCCAACACCACAACGUGUAAACCAACAUGUGCACGUGUGUUAGCAUUUUCACAAUCAUUUUCUUUGAAGGAGUUAAGUUAGCUUACUAGGUUCUAAAUGCAAGCACAUGAACAAUGACACCUAGUGGCACUUGAUAACCGCUUAGCCAAAGCAUUCCCCUCUUUAUAGUACGGCUAUCUAUCCUAAAUGUGAUCACACCCUCUAUGGUGUCUUGAUCACCAAAACCAAAACCCUAAGCAAUACCUUUGCCUUGAACUCCAUAGGGUUUUGUUUUUCUCUUUCUUCUUUUCCAAGUUGAGCACUUGAUCAUCUUGUGGUCAUCACCAUCAUCACCAUGAUCAUCACUUGCUCCAUCACUUGGCAUGGACCAACCUCAUUAAGUCUACACAUACUUAGCAUAGAGGUUAGUACUAGGGUUUCAUCAAUUAUCCAAAACCAAACUAGGGCUUUCACUUGUUAAUUAAAUAUGCCGUCAACGUUCUCCUUCCAACCUCCUUGUUUCUUGUUUUUUAUAGGGAGUCUAUUAAUGAGAACUGGCAUCUAUCAAGGGAACCUACCCCGCAAGAACGUGACACCAUUCUUCAUCAGGCUGGGGGAAAUGGAACCUCUGAUUUUAUUUCUUGGUUCAAACAAAAGGUACUAUGCAAUUUAGCUCGUACUUAAUUUGACAUUCCAAAUUCCUUGUGCAUUCCAGUUUAACGAUCUAUCCUCCUUGACCUUGCAGAGUCAAACUGAUUUGACUAUGAAUCUAGAGUUGAGACAGGUUGCCAAUGGCUUUGAACAUAGGGUCAAAUCAUUUUCUUGUUAUGAUGUGAAUGGAUACCGAUUUCACACAACAAGACACGAGCAGAGCCGACCCAAUUGAAAAACCACGAAUUCCAGAGUUUUUACUGGUGGCCUUGAUGGGGCUGAGUUUUAUGGAAGAAUUGAAGAAAUAUACGAACUAAGGUUUCGUGGUCGCAAACCUCUUAAUCUUGUCAUAUUCAAAUGCCAUUGGUUUGAUCCUCAAGAAACAAGACGAAGUCCUUCCCUUGGGCUAAUAGAAAUUCGACAGGAUUCCGUCUAUGGCGGAAAGGAUGUCUAUAUUGUGGCUCAACAGGCCACACAAGUGUAUUAUCUCCCAUACGCGUGCCAAAGGGACCCUCUUCUUCAGGGUCGGGAUAUUGUGCACAAGGUAUCGCCGCAUGGUAAAGCACCUUCCCCAAAUGACGAAGACUACAACUUUGACCCAAACACAUAUGAUGGAGAAUUCUAUCAAGAAGAUGGCCUACAAGGGACUUUUGAGAUUGACUUAACCGGAGCUAUGGAAAUGGAAGUAGACAAUGAAAUGGAUGUUGAUGUGGACGAUGGGGAUGAGGUGGAAAAUGCGAAGGACUUGGAGUUACUUGAACAAUUAUGUAGUGGCAAUGGUAGUGAUGACAUCGUUGCUCCUUUGGAAAGUGUUGAACAUCUUGACAUGGCUGAUAGUGAUGAUGAGAGCUAUGAUCCAGCUAAUCCCGAUGCGGAUGAUUAUUUCUAAUACAUGUAACUAUGCUUUAUUUAUUUUGCAUCUCUUUAUUAUAAUAUCUUAUUUAUGAUCCUGCUAAUCUGAUCUUAUUGUUUAUGUCUUGUAGGUGAUUGUGCAAAGAUGUCGGGCCCGGGCCGCAGAGCUUUGCGGUCGCUCAGCGAGUUGUACAACAUGAGGAGUGGAGCCCAGGCAGCUGGCGGGUCGGCACCGCCUCAGGGGACGCGGAGGAGGGUCAGGAGGAGGUCUAGGGCACCACCGCCUCCGCCAGACCCCUCGGAGAGGCUGGAGGAGCAGGUGGACGAGCAGGCUCACCAGGGAGGGGACGAGCACGCGCAGGCUCACCAGGGAGGGGACGAGGCGGACGAGGAGGACGAGCAGGCUCGGCAGGGGGAGGACGAGGCGGACGAGGAGGACGAGCAGGAGGAUGAGGCAGGAGGUUCUGAGACCUCCUCAAGUGUCUACCAACGAGGUCCGGCGAGCCUACCUGAUCGGCCCCCUGCUGCUCUACGCCCGGUCAUUCGACCCAUUGGGCAACAGUAUGUAACUUAUACAUUUUUUUGCUACUACGUAUGAUAGACUUACAAUGGAAACUAAUAGUUUUUUUUCAUAAUCACUUAUGCAGGUCUUGGAAGGUCGUGGUCCCAGGUGCUCACAAAAGGUUGCCCAAUGGCAUCGUGGGCCUUCUCUGUAGGGAACACUUCCCAUGCAUGGUUCACUACAACGAGAAGUACGAGCCGGCCACCACGUAUGAGCACUACCUCGCUGCAGAUGAUGCUCCGGACGUGACGGGCCACACGUAUGAUAGCGUGGCGGAGCGGAUUAUGCAUGAGUUUUAUGUAAGUCUUCCUCGCACUACUUUGCUCAAUACAUUGCAUUCGCUAGGCUUUCUUGAACUAGUGUACUAAUACAUAUUUUAUAUAUGCAGGACUACUUCAAAGUAGAGGAGGGCUAUGAGACGAGGGCGCCCAAGGUGUUGGCCAAAUCAUGUAGAAAGCGCAUCACAGACAUGCAUUACGAGGUGCGGCUCCAGGCGAUCAUCGAUUACUGUGCCAUCUAUGAGCUUUGGAAGGUAAAGAAACAAGAUGCUAGACUAAUGCAUCUGACCCGAGAGCAGUACCUAAAGGUAAAUAUACAUCAAUAUUGAUUUCUUCUAAGAUUUGGUAGGCUUCAAUACUUCUUAUAUCUGUCAAUGUACUUGAUGUCGUGCAGGUGCCUCCUAGCUGGUGCGCCAAUAAAACGUUGGCUUGGGAGAAGAUGGUCGACGAGUGGCUGAGUUAACAGUGGGCUAAUAGCCACACUGUCCUCCGAGACCGGCGUAUGAUGAUGCAAGGUGUAUCCCACCACCAGGGCAACCUUAACAUCGAUGAAUACGGGGCUAGAUGGGUAGGUGACUUGGUGUAGCUUCAUUUAUUAUUUCAAACGCUUAUUCUUGCAUUCCUAUUAUUAAUUGUCUUGCUGUUUUUCUCGCAGUCGGCUGCACAUCAAAACCAGCCAUGUGGACGGCUUAAGGCAUGGGUUCUGUCCCACAAGGACAAGGCGACCGCAAACAUUGAUUGGAACCCGGACAAUGACCCAGCUGAGUCGUACACCAACACCAGCAUCCCUGAGAUUGUCAGUCAGUACACCGAGGCAGCAAGGACGGUCCAUGGGGAGGGGUUCGAUCCGCACACCGCGGACCUUGACGGUGACAUCGUCAUGAGGGUGGGAGGAGGCAAGAAGCGUGGGCGGUACCUCAUCGGCAACAGCACGCUUGACCCGCAAACCACUCCCACUCUCUCACAGGUUCGGGCAAGCAGCAGGAGCGAUAGCGUGCCCAUACGCCCAAGGGUGGACACUUCGACGCAUCGUGUUGCUGCCCUACAGGUUAUUUCUGUUUUAUUCAUCGUUCAUUGGUUUUUACAUUCCUCGAAAUUGCUUGUAACAAUGCGGUAAAAAAUUAUAGGCCCAGGUGCAAGCGCUAGAGGAGCAUAAGGCUAUGAUGGAGGAAGCGCAACGGAGGGAGCGAGAGUUCCAGACACAGAGGUUCGACGCCUUGGCUCAGUACGUGGCAAGCCUUGGCCUCACGAUGGGUCGUCUAGCGCCACCAGAGUUGUUCGCUCCUCCACCUUACCCACAGCCACCUUACGUGAGUUCAACUUCUCUAACAAAACGUCUUUAUUGUGCACGUCGGACAUCGUGCUGUUCAUAUGUGAUGGGAUGCCUUCGUGCCAUUGAUAUAUAUGUGUCUCGACCAUCGUGCCGUUGAGAUGUGGUGGACGGCCAUCGUGCCGUUAGUUUUCUUGCAGGUUUUGGAAACCCCAGGUAUAGGGGAGGUGUUGCCGAAUUUUUUAUGUGUCUAGGCUUAGAUUACAAAUUUAUAACAAAUUUUUGACUUUACUAAGCCUAGAUUACAAUUUUAUGCCUUAGUAUAAGUACUAAUUUUUCUUCUCCUUUGUGCAGGUUCAAUCGGCGGGUUCGAAUGAGGUGCCUCCGUCCGGAGGGUUAGCGAAUCCACCACUUCUACAGCUUCAGCCACCGUCGAGUGGGUCGGGGUAUGGGUAUCCACCACGUGCGCCUCCGUCGCAGCAGCUGCCUCCAGGAGGGGCAAAUUGGGAUGCAUGGCAGCAGUGAACUUGUGGAUGUUGUGAAACUUUGAGAUACUUUAUGAUAUUUUGAGAUAAUGUGAUGGACAUGGUAUGGAUAUUGUGAUACACUUUGUUAAUAUAUGUGAUGGACAUGUUGGUUUUGCAAUUUGAGUUGGAUGUGUUAUAUCUGUUAAUUGUUAAUAUGUGUUUUAUCUGUGAAUAAUAGCUGGAAUCAAAACAGAAUUAAAAAAAGCUCUCUGGAGCCUUUGCCGAGAGCUAAACGUUUGCCGAGAGCCGAAACUGCACGGCUCUAUGCAAAUCCUGGACCUUAGCCGAGAGGCCAGCUCUCGGCAAAGAGUCAGUCUACCGAGAGCCAAGCUCUAAGCUCUCGGCAAAUUAACUGUUUGCCGAGAGGCGAGCUCUCGGCAAAGCCCUGUAAAAAAUGGUGGAAUCCUUCUUUCAUUUUUUUAAAAAGUCUUUGCCGAGCUGGGCUCUCGGCAAACCUCAAUAUAAAAUAAAUUUUGCAAACCAGCUCGACUGCCAUUCUUUUUCUUUUUUUUACAAAAAUUAUUUACCAAGCGGGGCUCUCGGCAAAGAAGUUCGAAAAGUUGUCAGAACUGACCGUUAACGGUCGUUUUGGCCGUUACUAGCGCUAACGUUCGCCGAGAGCUAUAGUUUGCCGAGAGGUGGACUCCAUGUGCUCGGGAACAAUUUUCCCGAGAGCGGCUCUCGGCAAACGAUCCUUUGCCGGUAGCUUGUUUGUCGGCGUUUCUUUGGCGAGAGCUGCUCUCGGCAAAAUGUUUGCCGAGUGUGUUUGCCCAUUUGCCGAGCGUUCUAAGCUCUCGGCAAAGGACUGGAAUCCGGUAGUCUAUGUAGGGCCAUGUUCAGUUGUUAGCCAUAGUUUUUGCUACUGCGAGUAGAAUACACAGGCACAUAUAUGGUGUCACAAAUAUUUUAUUAGUUUUGUGGAUUAAAUUAUGUCUAAAAUUUCCUAAAUAUCUUUUUUUAGAAUUACACAGUACAACAUAGAAGCCUAACACGCACGCACACUCACCCGUAAACUCUACCCGGCCUAUAAGCAAUUCCGAAGGACUGAGUUGACAGAUCUUGAGAUUCAUGAAGUCACCACAUGUGUCUUGCUGUUGACGGGGACAUCGCUUAAUACUGAAAAGCACAUAUAUAGCGUCAUUAAAUCCUAAAAAAAUCUAGAAAAUGCGAAACGCAUGUACUAAACACGAGCACUUUAAUUAGCUCGGGUGGACAGAUUCUACCGUAAGGAAUCCAACCAACUCAUUUAUGAUCAAUUCACAAAAUUACCUAAAUAUCUAACGAUCAAUCUCGGCUGCAUCACUUUUUGCUACAGAUGAAAAAACCUGUAGAAGCCCUGACAAAGAGGACGUAAUUAUACCGAAAUCAAAGUGAAGCGCGCGUAGUGUCUCAGCUGCUUUUAUCUCUGCAUGCUUUGGUAUUGAAGAAGCAACACAGCAUGGCAAAAGGCAUGUAGUAAUACAUGUAUACAACACAAAACGUACCCACCAGUUAUGCAAACUAAAGCUUAACAAUCUUCAGACCCGCAGUUUCCCAAAAGUACAUACUACGUACUCCUAGGUGGUAGCUACAGCAAAAAGUAAUUAAUUACUUAGCCAAUAUAAUACAAGCAACUAGUACCCAGCUAGAUGCAGGAGUAGGGAUAGUAGGGGUAUACAUGCAUGGGAUGGAGCAAAUACUACUACUAGAGAAGCUGGCCGCCGAUGAAUGCCCACCAGCGCAACCAGUCUACAGAUCAUGGCGCGCAAUCUUUCAGGCGGAGGUUUUCAUGGCGGCUGCGGGCAUGCUGCUCUUUUUCGAGCUAGUGUGCGGUUCUCUCCGGCGACGAAGCAACAACUCGUUUGUCCACCGGGGGCUAUGGGUGGCCUACACCCUCCUUCCCCUUCUCAUCACCUACACCCUCGGCCUGAUGCAGUCCGCUCAUGCCAAAGUGCUCAUGUAUCCCGUGUGGGCGCUGUCCCUGAUGAUCGCCGGAGGCGCCACCUCCAUCACCGCCCAUGACCUCGACGACAACAAGCAGUGGAAGCGAGCUCUGUUCGUCAUUCUCCAGUAUGACAUGUACUUCUGCAUAAUACUGUUUCAGCUGGUGUACCCCAACCCCAACCAGCAGAUAAGCGUCGCCCACGCAGCGACCCCCGUCCUGGACAGCAUAAAGCUUCUGCUAUGGCACCCCAUCGCCGUCCCCGUCUUGCUCCUCUUCACCACUGUCUGCAUUGCCCAUACCUUUGGAGCAAUCGCUGGCUGGAGGGCCAACUACUCCUACCCUAGCAAAAUGGUUGCCGACUACAUGAAGCGUCAUGCCGCUGCAGCGGCAGCGGCAUCCAGAUCAAGAUCACCAUCAUCGUCGUCGUCGUCAGGCCGAGGCUACUUGGAUCCUGUCAGCAUGAAGUACUUGGUCAGCUGGCCGGCCUACAAGGUAUCCCGCACUACAGCACCAAGUGGCCAUAGGAGCUCCUCCACUGUCUCCAGAAUGAUGAGAUGCCAAGCGCAAGCGGUGGCAGAAGAGGACGACGAAGGGCUCAUCACUGUGGAGAAGAUCGGGGACUGGUGCUGCAGGAACGAAGACAAGUUCAGGUCAUGGGGCGUCAGCACGUCCCGGAUCAAAGGCGCCUGCCUUGCAUAUUCCCUGUCUCACCUGCUGAUGCGCCGCUUCUUCGGGAUGGAUUGCGCGGAGGCAAGCCUUCCGGAGACGCGCCACUUCGUGCUUCGAGGGCUGCUGUCAGAGAGCAACACUGACGAGUACAUCAAGGCAUUCAGGGUGAUCGAGGUAGAGCUAGCAUUCCUGUACGACUUCUUCUACACCAAGUACGCAUUGAUCUUUGGGAUGGAAGGGUUCUUCUUUCUCAUGGUCCUAGUGAAGAUAGUAUGCGCAUCCACCAUUGGAGUACUUAUGCUCUACAGACCAUUUGCCCAAGGUUUUCCCCAGUGCUGGUACGGUGACAUUGUCAUCAGCCCUAGCCUGACUAGUGUCAACAUCACAGUCGCAAUCAUCGCAAUAUUCCUUACAGUAGAAGCACUGCAGUUCGUACUGUACAUGGGAUCGGAUUGGGCCAUGGUAUCACUCGCCUGCUGCCAUAUCACCGAAGGAAGGCCCCAUGGAUAUAUCCCACUAUCAUUUCGCAAGCUGUUUGGGUUUCUUUUCAGUAGGCAGAGGCUACCGUUAUUCGGGUAUUGGCAGAAUAAACUAGGCCAGUACUCUGUCAUACAAGGCUCCAGAUUCUUCAGCUCUAGCAACCAAUUUGCUUUCGAAUGUAGUGGCCUGACCACGUUCAUCCUUUCCAAAGCCAUUGCUUACCUGGGUCAAUGUGUGGUCAGUCUGUUUUCAAGCCAAGGUCUGCAUUUUGUCAAGUUACCUGAAAUAAUCAAGAGCCAUAUUGGAUCCACACUGAAAUCCAGUACUGACGAUGGUGGCUACCUGACUAACGGGAAAACGUCGUUGCAGCGCAACCAUGUUCUUGGGAAUUUCUCCUGGACAUUGCAGAAUGAGACUCAGACUGAGAGCAUGCUUAUUUGGCACAUUGCAACUGACUACUGCAGCAUCAUGGUGUCUGACGAGGGAAACAGCAGGCAGAUUUCUAAUUCCAGCUAUCGUCAGCACCGUGAGGUGGCAACCAAAUUGUCAUGCUACUGUGCGUACCUGAUGUCUAAUGUUCCCCAGCUGCUUCCGGGGAACUCUGUAGAUACCAAAUUUGUGUUCGACCAAGCUAUGUACCAAGCCAGAGAAGCACUGGGAACCAAGAAGCGUGAUAGAGCUGGAUUGCGGAAUGCCGCCGCCACUGUCAUCAGCAACCAAGAUGAAGGCAGUAGCAAUAGCAUCUUCACCAAAGGUCUCAAGCUUGGAGCUGAGCUUGCGAGCAUACAAGAUGAUUGCCUGCGAUGGAGAGUGGUGGCCGAGUUCUGGGUAGAAACCAUCCUCUACAUUGCACCGUCAGAGAACGCCAAGGCGCACAUGGAGUGCCUACCGCAAGGUGGGGAGUUUCUCACGCACCUCUGGGCUCUCCUCACUCACGCCGGUAUCCUCAGUCGACAGUCGCCACCGGCCGGAGCCGGAGCAAACCCAAGAGGAUGAUGCCAGGCCACUACAUCUACAUGAGAGUAUUCGCUACUGCAGUUCAUGACUGUUGCCUCGUUGUUGUACUGAUGAAGUAGUUCAGUGUUUCAGUCUGCAUCUGUGUUGUCGCUUGUGAUACUCCUGUAUUAUGCCUUGACCUUUGUAGGUUCGGUGUCUUUCUCCCCUAUAUGUUUGUUGUAGGGGGUUGUUUCUCCCUGUUUGUGUGUUGGUGGUGUUUGUGUUCUUUUCUUGCCUCCAUUACUUUGUAACUCUGGGUUACCAUUUGCCGAUUUGGGGAUAGUUCAUUCCCCUGAUGAUUGCCUAAAAAUUGUUGUAUUAUAUUGCUUCCACCAUGACAAAUGGAAGCUCAUGCUUGUGAUUUGCUAACAUAUUUAUUUUAUAUUUUUUAGAGAAAACAAGAGGGAUUGAAGGCCGAUCCCUACUGACAUAUAUUAAAGCAAAGAAAACAAAGUUACAAAAAUGCAUAGAGGCUAAGGAAGAAAUUUAAGAUACAAAGAAGAUGAGACAGAUACACAAGCUGCUCUAGCCAUAAGGAAAUGAAUGGGAGAUAAUUUUUCUUCGCGUGAAGAAUAACUAAGUGGUCUCCUUGAAUAGAAAUUUGAAGCGCUCCAAAGAGGCAGCUUCUCCUCUAAAGAUGAGAUUAUUAAUGACAGUCCGGAUGCUCCAACACAUCAAAGUAAUAUCUCCAUGAAGAAUGAGACUCUUUAACUGUGAUCUGAAACUUUCCAAAGUCUGGAUGAGAUCCAGUGAAGUUGGCACAAGCACCACGAUAUAAUUCAACAAGAUCUAGCAAACCUACAUUGCAAAAAUGGAUGUUCUACUAUUUCCUCACAAGAAUCGCCACAAAGAACACAAUCAAAGGAUUGAUGUAUAUGCUUCCAUUUAAGUAUAUUUCUUGUACUCAGCCUGUCUUGAGCCAACACAUCACGUACUCCAUGACGGCGGCAUCACACGGCACCAUGAUCCUGAGGAGAUAGGAGGACUCAUGAGUGAGCUCGAGAGCCCCUGCGCGGGCGACGGCGAGGCGGCCGGCGUCUCAACGCCCCCGCCCCCGCCUUCUUCGCCGCCCCCGCCUACUCCACCACCACCGCCUCUCCCGCCACCCCCUCCACUUCAACCUGAGCCCCAACACCCUGGUUUUCGCCGCCUUCCGCUGGAGCCGUCAGGUUCGGCGGACCUUGGUGCCUCCGACUGGGUGCCUCAACGGCGUUGCGUCAUCGUGCAGCCUGCGCCCUCCAGGUUUGAGCUUCAGAACCGUCUCCUCUCCGAGCUUCACGAUUGCAUCGUCCCCAACCUCCUGUGCCCCUCGCCGGCCCCGGCGCAGCUCUGGGUAACUCCACCUUCCCUUGACCCCCGGUUCAAUGUUUUCUUCAUCAAGAAUGCUCUCUGCCAUAUGCUUGCACCUCGUCCGAGUCGCCUCUGUGUCCAGCGUCUACUCGAUGCCGUGUUCGUGGUGACGGUCUCUAGCAAGAAGUUCUCCGACGCGUUAGUUGUCGUCGGCGAGCUGCGUGUCGCCGACGUGCGCCUGGUUUUCCACCCUUCCAUGGCUUCGGCCAUGAAAGCGGCGUCCUGUCUACCCCCGUUCUGCGCGAAUUCAAAUCGCCCCGUUCAAACGGCUGCUCGCCCUGACACUGUAAUGGCUGCCAACGGCCCGGCGUUGACAUUCAUUUCGCCCACCUCCUCUCGCCCAUCGGAUUUUCAGGGGAUUCGUCUGGGAACCAUACCACAAAAUCUUUUGAGUGUACCCGUCUGUACCCCUUCGGCUGUGCAGGGUACGAGGGGCGCCGCGCGACGUCCUGUCGCAUCUACUGCGGCAAAGGGAAGCGCCUUCACUGCCCACCAGCCACGCAGCUACCUUGAGGCCGCGCUUUCCCCCGCUGUACCGCAACCCAGGGCGACCAAACCUCCGCCUCCUCUAAACCCUGCUAAGGGCUGCUACCGCUGCCUCGCCUCUGAUCACAAGGUGGACGCCUGCCGCGACCCCAUCCGCUGUCGUCUCUGCCGCGCGUCCGGCCACAAAAGCGACCGCUGCACGAUGAGGCUUCGUGGGCUUCUCCGCGCCGCGGCCCGAAAGCUGCGUGUUCCAGCUUCUGCCCGAGCACGCUCAGCCCCCCCCCCCCCCCCGGCGCCCCUAGACGAGCCUCCGACCGACUUCGCCUUACAACCUACGGCAGACACGCCGAUCGAGCUCUCUCUCAGCGCCUCGGCUGCCUACCACCACGACAACAUGCGGCCAUCUUCUUCCUCUACGCCGGCACCAGUUCCUGACGCCGCGACAGAGGUCCCACCCUGCGUCGACAAGUUCAUCGUUGGCUCGCCCAGGCUGUUGCCGUUGUGCGCAGGGGGACCCGAGCGGUCGUCCACCCUCGCGCUUGACUCCGGCGGCGCCUCGGAGCGGGGCACCCAAAUCGUCAGCGAACCUCAAGCCUCGUCAGGGGAGGAGUACGCCAGCGGGGAAAUGGACUCCGGCUCUGACGCCUCCGGCGAUUCUUGGGAAGAGGGCCGCACACGCCACGCCGAAGCUUGGGUGUCCCCGGGACGUCCUGAGCUCUCCGAGCGCCUGCUGUUCGCCUUCAUCGAGCCGCCGGUGCCCAUGCUAAACGUAAGCUCCUUCAUCCGUGAGGCCCUCCGCUCGGUCGCACCGCUGCUGCCGGUGGACCUUCUACCUUCCUCCAUGGGCGCCAUGUUGCUUCGCUGUGAGUCCCACGAAGCUCGGAACUCCCUCCACCUGCUCGGACCUAUCCAUUGUGGAGGGUCCAUGCUGCAUCUCUACAAGCCGGAAGACACGCCCAACCGCUUCUUCCGUGUGCCCGUCUGGCUGGCGUUUGUCUUCGUCGUUGGCUUCCCCAACGAACAUUGGUACGAGGACAAAAUCAAGGACUGCUUCCGGGGGUUUGCGGAGGUGGCCGAAGUUGACCCUGAGUACCUGACCGGGGAAAACUUUGGUCCACUUCGGCUGCUCCUGGAGGUGAACGACCGCCUCGACAUCCCCCGCGAACUACGCAUCUCAAGCCGCCUUGGCGUCGGCAGGGCCGGAGCAGUUGCCACCGUUAUCCCGAUUAGAGUCUGGCCUCGUGAAUUCCAGCUCGACAGUCGGGGCAACCGAGUCACCUUCUUCGGACCUCCGGCGCCGCCGGGAACGGGGCCCGCUCUAGGGCCAAUGGGUCCCGUGAGCAGCCAACAACAGCUACGCCCACAACCUCACUACUUCAACUUGGGCUUCCCGCCGAACUCCAGCUCUAGGUACGCGGGUAACCUGCAGCGCGCCUUCGACCCUCUUCACUGCUCGGCUGUUUCAGGCACUGCGGCGUCCUCGACCCCGGCUGUCCAGGUCAUGGCCAGUGCCUUGCUGCUGGCGAGACUCAUGGCCGGCCCUCCGGACGGUGCUGCCUCGGCAAGGGAGGGCUCGCCGGUCUCAUCGGCGCCGCGCGGGCCUCAGCCGUGCGCCGACCCCGGCCAGGCUGCGGUCGCUCAAAGGCCGCUCAUCACUUACCAGAGGCGUCAACGGUUGCCCAAAGCAGCGCACGCUUCAAGCAAGGCGUGCAAGGUCCAGUCAAGGGCCUGCCGUGAGUCGCCCGUGAAAGGUCCGCGCCGUUCCAGCAAGCGCCUGGCUGCCAAGGCGACGGACCACUACAUCGACAUGACUUCACAGGCUGUUCAGUGCAAGGCGCUCUUCAACUCCCUCUCCACCUGCUCUCUCUCUCUAAAGGCGCAUGUCAAGAAGCGGAACAUCCUCUCCCGCAACCUACUGCCCCUGGGAGCGGCAGAACUGCGCAAGCUCAUCUCCGCAGCCAAGAUUGGCAACGGCGGCGACACUGGUGCAGCGGCAUCGGGCGUCACGGUGCCUGCGGUGGCUGAAUGAUCACUCCUAAACGCUUCCACCCCACUGGCGGCUUGCACCCAGGCGCCAACGGCCGCUGGCACGCUCCCAGCCGAAGUGCACCUACCUGUUCUUCUACUAUUUUGGCUUCGCAAUGGCCUUUUGUUCUAUCCAGGUGUUGUAACGUUAACGCAUGAACUCGAGCUUGUUUUCUCGCUGCUUUCACGUUGUGUCUUGGAACGUUAGAGGCUUGGGCGACUCGGACAAGUGCAAAAUUGUGCGCAAUGUGUUCUCUGAUGCUAACCCGCAUGUCAUCUGCAUUCAAGAAUCUAAGCUGUCUAACACUGACUUCUUCAAAGCCCAAACUUUCCUUCCUCAACCUUUAUCCUCCUCGUUCGUGGCCGUUCCGUCUGAUGGCUCGCGUGGAGGACUGCUCACUGCAUGGGAUCCGUCCCUCUUCACCAAAAACUCCCACUUCUCCAACUCCUACUCUUUAACAACCUCCUUCUCUUGCAAUGCCUCCAACCUCGAUUUCUCAAUCACCAACGUGUAUGGCCCUUCGGACCACACCUUCUCCCUCGCCUUCCUCCAAAACCUCAAAGAUGUCAGCAACGCGGUCUCGGGGCCUUGGAUUCUCCUGGGAGAUUUCAACCUCGUUAGAUGCGCUCAGGACAAAAGCAAUGGCCGGAUCAAUUCGGCCCUUGCCGACGCCUUCAACCAAACGCUACAACAACUCGUCGUGUCCGAGAUUCACCUUUCCGACCGACGUUUCACCUGGUCCAACAAACAGAGCUUCCCGAUCUUGGCUAAGCUGGACAGGGUCUUCACAAAUGUUGCCCUUGACCUCGCCUUCCCGAUGGCAGGUCUGACCUCCCUGCCCAGGCCAACCUCCGAUCACACCCCUUUGCUCCUCUCGCUCACCACCAACAUUCCCAAAGCGACAUCCUUCAAACUCGACAACCACCUGCUUAAAAACCAAAGCUUCCUGAGCUCCGUAACCUCGGCUUGGCAGCAGGUUGCACCCUGCAGUGAUGCCACAGGGCACCUAGUCACUUGCAUCAAGGCCACCCGGGCCGCGGCAAAGGUUUGGAAACGGCGUUACAGGGCGCCACCACAAAUCCUACAAAACUGCAAGUUUUUAAUCCAACUGUUUGACUUCUUUGAGGAAACAAGAUCUUUGUCCACCGGCGAGUUUCAGGUACGGUGUCAAGCACAAGAACGUCUGCAUGAAGAGACCAAAGCAAGGGCCGCCUACUGGCGCCAAAGAAGCAAGCAAAAAGCAAUUAAGGAAGGCGAUUCAAACACUGCCUACCACCAUGCCCAUGCAACCAACCGCAUGCGUCGUAAGUUUAUCAGGAUGAUAAAGGUGGACGAUCAAGAAAUCGCCAGCCAUGCAGGCAAAACACAGGCUCUCUCCACUUACUUCAAGUCCAUCAUCGGGGUUCAAGGAAUGGCACUUGACAUGGACCUGCAAUCUAUCUAUGUGGGUUCUGAAAGGCCAGGGAGCGACCUGAUAAGGGAGUUUUCAGAAGGCGAGCUCAAGCAUUCAGUUUGUCAGAUGAAUCAGCUCAGUGCACCGGGACCGGACGGUUUUGGACCUGCUUUUUUCAGGGUGGCAUGGCACACAGUCCGGACUCAAAUCUUGGCCUUCGCCGAAGCUUUCCACAGAGGGACAGCUGAUCUGGAGCGCAUCAAUCGCUCAUUCAUAGUACUUCUGCCAAAGAAGCCAGAUGCGGUCGAAGUAGAUGCUUUCAGACCGAUUUGCCUUCAGAACACGGCACUUAAGAUCAUCUCAAAGGCUCUUACUACUAGGCUUCAACUUGAGAUUCCGAAGCUUAUCGACAUUCAUCAGACAGGAUUUGUGAAAGGAAGAUCAAUAGCCGACACCUUCGUCUAUGCACUAGAGCUUGUUCAGACCUGCCACAAGAGGAAAAGGCCUGCAAUUGUACUCAAGCUCGACUUCGCAAAGGCUUUUGACACCGUAAACUGGGCAGGGCUGGUUUCAGUCCUUCAAGCAAGGGGCUUCCACCAGAGGUGGAUCGAUUGGAUGCUCAGUCUCCUAGCGUCCUCCAAAUCUGCCGUUAUUGUGAAUGGUUGCCCGGGUCCUUGGAUUAACUGCAAGCGAGGACUGAGGCAGGGGGACCCUCUGUCCCCAUACCUGUUUCUUCUGGUGGCUGAGACUCUACAACGUAUGAUCAAUAAAGCAGAUGAAAUCAGACAUCCAACGGAAGGCAACCUCCCCUGUGCUGUCCUUCAGUACGCCGAUGAUACCCUGAUUGUGUUCAGAGCUGAAGCCUCGGCAGCAAUCAAAUUGAAGGAAAUCCUGGAUCAGUUUGCAGCCAUGUCUGGCUUGCACAUUAACUUCAGCAAGAGCACUCUGGUACCGAUUCAUGCAGACGCCCGGUUGGUGCAACAAUGUGUUCAGGUGCUGGGCUGCAGUGAGGGCUCCUUCCCGCAGCAGUACUUGGGACUUCCGCUAUCGGCCAACAAGCUGCCUGUUUCUGCCUUCAACAUAUAUAUACAAAAAACCGACAAGUUUCUUGCAUCCUGGCAGGCUGACCUGUUAAACCCUAUGGGAAGGCUUGUCUUGGUCAAUUCGGUUCUUGACUCAAUCCUUGUCUACUUGAUGAGCUCAGCUUCCUGCGACAGCAGUGCACAGCAUGGAUAAGAAAAGGAGAGCAUUCCUCUGGUCUGGGGAUAAGGCGGGAAUCGCGACACCGGCGAACUGCCUGGUUGCCUGGACAAGUGUCUGCAGCCCCAGGGAGUGCGGCGGCCUGGGAGUCAGGGACUUGGGGGUCCAAAACAUCUGUCUUCUACUGAAACUGCUUCACAGACUGCAUUGCCCCCAAUCUUCCGCAUGGGCUGAAUGGGUGCAGCGUCGGGCUUCAAUAUCAACUCUGACCGGUGAACUGCAUGGGGAUCACUGGCAGACCUUGCGAUCCAUCAUCCCUCUAUACCAGGCGAUCACCACUGUUCAAGUCGGCGAUGGAAAAUGCACCUCGUUCUGGUACGAUGUCUGGAACGACAGUGACGAAGCUCUGGCUGAUAGGUUCCCUGCACUUCUGUCACAUUGCUCUUCCAAACAUGCCACGCUUUGGGAGAUCAAAUCCUCGGGCCUACAGUCUGCUUUGGUCCCCCGUCUCUCAACAGCAGCGGAAAAUGAGCGGCAACUGGUGCUUCAGGUCAUCGAAGAAACGGCCUUAUCUGAAACCCAUGACAAGAGGAUCUCACCUUUCAUCAGGCCUGAUAACAGCCUUGACAGCGGUGCACUCUACAAGAUGAUCAAAGCUAGAGGCCAGGGAGACAGCCCGCGGGCAACCUUCGUUUGGCAGAACCUGGCUCCGCCGAGAGUGCGACUGUUUUUGUGGCUACUAACACAACGGAGAAUUCAGUGUCGUUCGGUGUUACAAAGAAAAGGCAUUGUUGAUUCCGCAACUUGUGAGGUCUGCAGUGCUGCGGACGAAACGCCUGAACAUAUCAUCCAUGGUUGUGCUCUCGGCCGAGACGUUUGGGCGAGCUUGAACCUACAGUCCAUAGUCUCAGUGGACAUGGGCGAGCUUCACUCAUUCAAAGGUCAUCCUUCGAACUAGAUUUCAGAGCUACCUUCCUUCCUGACCUUGGUUUGCUGGAACAUCUGGAAGGCAAGGAAUGCGAAAAUCUUCAGGAACCAAGCUCAAACGGUACAUCAUGUGCUUCAGGAAUGCAUCUCCGCUUCCAUUCUGUGGAGGCACAGAUUUCCAAUGAAGAAAAGAAUCGUCUCCGACCAGUGGUGCUCCAUUCUACAAAUGGCCAGAGCAGGGCUUACCUAAUUCCGGGGCUUAUACAAAAGCAAGGAGAUGGCUGUCAUCUUCUGUUUCCUGUCUUCCUCCAACUUGUUUCCUCUGCUUCUUCGAUAGCUCUCACUAGCUCUAGUUGGUUUUACUCUAGCAACAAACGUUGCUCUGCAUCUGUAACAACACAAUCGUGCGAGCCGAUUCUGGGCUAAAAUAAUUUUAAACAGGUGGGGAACGUCUCCCCCCCGUUGACCGUUAAAAAAAAAGCCAGAAAAAGACUUUAUGUUUGUGUUGGCAGCAUGAUCUCCAGGUCCACUUAAAGACAGGGUGAACAUUACAAGUUUCCAUUAGAUGCUUGUAAGCUUUUGACGAAGAAUAAGAAUUAGAGGCCCAAAUGUAAUUCCAGAUAUCACUAUCCUCAGACUCUGGUAAACUCUGGAUAGCAGAUUCUAGCAAAAAGUAUUCUUUCAAAAAAAACUAAGGGCCAAGUAGCUUUAGAAUUCCCUCUAUUAUUACUGCCAGCCCCUUUCCAAAGACAGUUUUUCCUAUAUUUAUCUAUCUGACCUAUCACAGUGUCUUGUAAAGCAAAGGUGCACAUGAAAAAGGUUGGAAGUGCAGUGAAAACUGAAUUCGUUAUCUAGAGCCUUCCAACUAAAGAAAGAAAAAUGAAGGUCCUAACAAACCUUUUUCACAUCUUGAGAUGAGUGGUAAGUAAUCAUUGGUCCUUGUCUUGGUGGAGCCCAAAGGCAAACCAAGAUAAGUAAAAGGCAUACUUCCAGUAGAACACCCAUAGGUGAGAGCAAGAUGCUUUAGUUUCUCAGGGCUCAUGUUUAUGAUAAUCAUCAAUGACUUCUUGAAAUUAACUUUCGGUCCAGUUGAGAGAGUAAAAGAAUUCAGGAGAGCCUUCAUGACAAAAAGUUGCCUUCCACAUCCUCCAAGAAUAGUUAAUGUAUCGUCAGCUAGUGUAAGAUGGGGAAAUCUAAGGAAUACUGAAGGCGAACUCGCAAAUUGAGAAGUGCUUGUUCUUUGGCUCUAUUAAUUAUAUACUGCAGCAAGCACAAAUAGGAGGGGGGAAAGAGAAUCCACUUGUCUCACACCCUCUUGCAAUGAGAUUGUUUUCGACUUCUGCGAGUAUAUAGUCCAUCAUAUAGUGCUACUGGACCUGUUCUCGUACUCGGGUUAUGUACCUUUGUUUGCUUUCCUCUUAAUGAAAAACGGGCACCAACCCGAUAAAAAAAAGCAGGAAUAAAAUUACUACUCACGACUAAUUAAAAUUCCUGAUUUUUGCGUGACCGCACUCUCUCUUCAUUUCGAACACAAUACUCAAUACCCGCAUAGAUAAUCUACAAUAUUUAUCCUCAUGUAAUAAAUUUAUUAUUAAUUAUUCAAGGUUGUUUGUUCCCAGCCAUAAUUUGCCACAGCAAACUUCAGACAAUUAUGGCUAAAAUAUUUGGAGCCACGUUUUACCAUGCCUACGGAAAUUGUCACUUUUUUCUUUCUUUUUUUUCUCUAUGACACGUGGAUCCCACAAAAGUCUUACCAGUCAAACUAUCUAAGAUGAAGUGUGUGGCUAGCUAGAAACCAAACAUCCCCUAAAGUCUAUCAUCCCAUACUCCGGCACGACGUAGAAUGUCAGGUUAUAUAAGUAUUACAAUUUUCGUUCAUAAAAAAAAUGUAAGUAUUACAAUUUUUGUGGAUAACUUUAGUAGGUAAAAUUAAGUUAAGUUGAUUCUUUACUCUCUUGUUUCCUAAUUGUUAGGGCCAUAUGCCCUUCAUGGGUUCUCCUGUUCAUUUUGCUAACCCAUGCUCGGCUUGACAAUACUCACAACUUACACUCUAUUUGGCACUGCUCCAAUUUACUAAUGGAGCUAUCUUUUUAGCUUCAGCCUUACGACCAGCUCUGCUGAUGGAGCUGAAGUUAUUUUGAUUACCUAUUUGGUAAAACAACUCCCAUGUUAGAAAAAAAAACAAAAUAACCAUAAUAUUCUUCUCUACAUUUUUUCUCAUAUUUUCUCCUCUAUUUCCUUCCUCUCUAAUCGACUCGACCCUUCCUCUAAGCACGGCCAUCUUCUUCAUCACAAAAUGGGCAACGGCGCCCGCGAGCUCCCUGACAACCUAUGCCUACUUGUGUGCGCCACGGCGGCUACACCCGCACGUCGUGCUCCAGCAAACAACUCGUUGCUCGGAACAUACCACCAGAGAUCUGGAGCAUCAAGAAGCUGGAAAUGUUUGUUGUGGAGAUGAACAACCUCACGGGACAUCUGGUGGUUGACGGCUUUGAGGCGAUGAGCUUGAUCGUUACAGCAUCUCCAAUGGUAGGAACCCUAAACUACUUAUUGGCUACAAAACUUUUUUUGAGGGUUUUCAAAGGCUCUAUCUCUAGCAGAAUGAGAAAAAUCUCAUUCUCAGGCCUUGUUUACUUCCCCAAAUAUUUUGCAAAAUAUUCAGGAUUCUCCGUCACAUCGAAUCUUUCGGCACAUGCAUGGAGCAUUAAAUAUAGAUAAAAAAAUAACUAAUUGUAUAGUUCGUAUGUAAUUUGUGAGACGAAUAUUUUGAGUCUAGUUAGUCCAUAAUUGGACAACAAUUAUCAAAUACAAACAAAAAUACUACAGUAGCAUUUUGCAAAAAAAAAAUCAAGAAGUAAACAAGGCCUCAAUAUAUUGUUUAAUAUGUGGUGUGUACUUGUCAUUCUAACUUCCCCACUGCUUCUUUUUCUCCCUAUAAUCUGAGCGACAUUGACAUCCGCCGUCACCACGACUCCUCCGUCGCUCCUCUCCCCACUGACUUCUUUAUUUCUCCCUUCCACUCCUAUCAACGCAUCCACCCCUCCUCUUCCUAUCCCACUACUUGAAGACUCCUCCCAUCACUCAAGUUGCAGCAAAGGCCUUCUUCCCUGGCCCCAGUCAUGGCACCCGCGGCUAACUCCUCCCCUACCAGCGGCCUAUUUCUCUCCCUAGCGACGUAUGGCAUCACCACCGCAAGUGGAUCUGGUGCGGCAUGAUGCGGAGGAGCUCCUCCAUCUCCAUCGCCAGCACCGCGAGCCUACCAGCACCAACAGCGUACGACACCACCAUCGCUCCUAGACCUAGCGCGGCAGUUGGAGCUCACAUCAAAAAUCUCAGGCAUUGGCGGGAGAGAGAUUUCCCUUGUCUUUGAGGGGUUGGAAGAUGGUUUUCAAGGUACUAAGGAAAAAAAAUCUCAUUGGGAUGCGAAUGGGGAUCUACUGGAGCUCUCAAAUCCAUCAAAAUAUAGGUUUUUCUAUCUACUGGAGCUCUCAAAUCCUUCAAAAUACAGGUUUUUCUCGUUGGGGAUAGGAAUUAGUGUACUGCUGAAGAUGCUCUUAUCUCCAUCUUAAAAGAACCACCUUACUGGUACCAUCCUGGAAACCUUCGGUCACUUGAAGAACCUCGCUGACUUAUACCUUACAGCAACAACUUCAUCGGUGAGAUACCCGUGAGCAUCGAUCGGUUACCGUCAUUCAAUAACAGGCUUCCUGGUAUGCUCCCGGAAAAACUCGGCAAGUACUCACCAGUAUUUUCAGCCAUGGCUUUUCAAACCAGCGAGUCAUGACUGAAAAUACUGUUUACUGAUUUGUUAUAAAAGAAAAACAGAAAAAAUACGGCAUAUAAAACAAGCAAACAGGCUUCGCUACUCACUGCAUCAAGCAACCGCUUGAAUGGCUCCAUCCCACUGAAGCCUCGCUCGCUGUGCCUCUGAAAUAUCUAAUCCUAGACAGCAACCAGCUCUCCGGCGACAUACCAACAGAUUUGGCGAUGGCACACCAUUGCUUAAGCAACUGAAGCUGGCCAACAAAAAACUCUCCGGGAGGAUCUGUUAAGCUAAUCUGCAGAAGCUCCGUCGACGUACCAACUUCCCAGGUGACUAUGUACGCUUGAGCACAAAUAUUUUACACGAUGAUCAUCCUAAUCUCUUUUACACCUUGUAAUCUUCACUGUUACCAUAUAAAUUGCCUUUCAGAAGUCCAGAUCCCUAAAUUGGGGACGAUUUGAGAUGCGUGACGACAUGGACCUAACCUAACCUGUGCAAUAAUGUUACUACUACCCUAUAGAUGGUGAUAAACCAAAAGGAUCAAUUAAAAAAUGCUAUACUGCAGUGCAGGUCAUCAACCGACUCUUUCAAAUCAGUUCAUGCCCCAACAGUCUUUUGCUUCUUGGCGGUAUUAAUAUAGGGCCGCAGCACAAACUCGCUUUGCGCUUCAUUUUGUUCCACAGCUCCUAGUUUGAUCUGUCAGGCAAGCGCGAUAAACAUGUUAGUACCAGCAACCAGUAUUUGUGCCUCAGAAAAUGUGGUAAUGACCAGAUGCCGAGUGUUCCUGAUACCUGGUACAGCCGCAACUCAAAACGAGGACCAACCUCCUUCAACUCCAUCGAUCCGGGGCCGCCAGAUUUUUCGUAUACAUGAUGCCUUGCAUAUAACAAAACAAAAGGAGCUGUCAGUCAUAUAUGCAUAAAAGCUUCUCAGGAAGCAGAGCACAUACACAGUUACACACUAGUGCAUGACAGAAAUAUUGUACCUGAAAGAUAUGUACUCGUCUCUGUUGGCAAAAGUAAUUAUUCGCUUUGAAUCUGGCUUUGGCAUAAGAAAGAGGUGCUUGAGAAUAGUGGCAGUCCUUUCACCAACCUAGAAUACAAAUAGCAAGUUACCAAACUGUCAUGAACAAAGAUAGAAUACAAGGAUGGCUAACCUCUGCAGAAAACAAAAAAACAAGCUACUCUCCCUAGUAAAACUCUAAAGAGUGUUUAAGUUCCUACAAUCCAAUCUAAGUACUCUAGCAAUCAACCAGAGCCCAGAAUGCCUCCCGCCAACAUCAUCCAAAUUUGAGAUUUCUACAUGCUAACUCAAGCAGACAGAAAGUGAUGGUCAGAUCCAUAUUUGAGAUUUCUGCAUGCAAAAUCAAGCAAACAGAGAGCGAUGGUCAGAUGUCAAGUGUUUCAAGCUAAAUCAAGCAGUAUAUGUAAGUGGAGAUGCUCAGCUUAGAAGGUUUGAAUGGACUGAGAGUAGUCUUCACAGUAGUAACUAACUACAUCUCACGUUAAUGGUUAACAAGAAAAACAUCAUCAAAACCUGAAUUCUGCUCAUAUAUUAGGAUUCACAUGCAAUCCUAUCAAAUUCAGAACCCAACAAACCAGACCCCCACCUAACAAAAGGACAAGAAAUAAAAGGAAAAGUAAAACAUAUCAAAUACAACUGAUAGUGGAGAUUCUCUUGUUCAAAAAAAAGGUGGAAAUUCUCAGUCUUUGAAUCAUGAAUGGAUUCAAGUGUCAUCAAUGGAAAAAAUGUCUCAGGUUAACGAGAAAGACAUCACUGCACAACCCACAACACUGAAACAAGAAUGAAUAGCAAGCACAUCACAUUCACAGGUUAAUGAGACAAAUAUCAUCACAACAUAGGAGUUCUGUGGAUAUAUUAGGAUUCACAUGCAAGAUGUAACUCUGUUCAAUUUGAACAAAGAUUGACAGAACUAAACGGAGACGCCAAAAAAAAAUAGAACAAGGACAGAGAAACAUAGCAAACAAGUGACAGUGGAGGUUCUGAGCCUUGAGUUAUGAAUGGAUUUAGGUGUCUUUCAUGGAAUAAAGAUGUAUCAGGUUAACAAGAAAGUCAUCAUUGCAACGUCCCAAUAUUGUAAAAUAGGCAUGCACAUGCUGGGAUGCAGCAAGGCACAAAAGCGAAUGAAAAAGAUGGUUACAAAAGAGUGACACCCUCAACUUGUUAUAUCUUCAACAAUACCAAUGCUGCUCAGUUAUAGUUUUUGAAUGGAUAGAUGCUAUCCUCAUAGUAUGUCUCAGGUUAACGAGAAGUCCAUCAUGGCAGCCAUACAAAGCACUAAGCAAACUACAAACUGUAAUGUGAACACUUGCUUGCACUUAAACAAAGUUAACGUCAUGUUUUAUGUGACCAGGAAUGUAUUUUAGAAUGGAACUAUUGAGAAAUUAACCAAUGUACAACAUAGACAAGUCAACAAAACAACAAACUUGCUUGGAAACAGCAGCGGAAGCAGAAAAUGAAGCAAACAAAGCAGUAGCAGCAGCAGAUUAUGGAACUGGAGGUGCUCAGCAUCUUAUUAUUCAAAUCAUCAUCAUCAUAGUAGCAAUGUAUGCUUAACAAGAAGCUGUCAAUGGGAGGGAGGGAUGCAUGCAUGGAUAGAUAGAUACAUAUAUAUAUAUAUACACACACACAAACACACAAAGAGUGUGUUAGAGAGAGAGAGAGAGAGAGGAGAAUUCUUGAAAAGAUAUCAUCACAGCAGCCUCCAGUUCAUAAUGACUGCAUGGAUAUCCUCCUAAUAAUGGACAUGGAUUCCAUGCAAGUAAGCAAAAAGAUAAACAAAAACACCAUGGUAACCACUGCCACCACCACGCCUCACCAUAACCAGCCCCACAGACACUUCAUCGUAAGUAUGAAGUUGUUUACCCUGCUAUGGAAAGGCGUGACUUUUCAAGAACACAUAGUGAACAGGUCACCAUGACAACAAUGAUAAGGCAUGAAGGCAAAACGAUCCUGUCAGAACCCAACAAACCAGACCCCCACCCAACAAAAAAGACAUGAAAAUAGAAGGAAAAGCAAAACAUCAAGGCCAAGUGAAAGUGGAGAUUCUCAGUCUUUGAGAUAUGAAUGGAUUUAAGUGUCUUUCAUGGAAAGAACGUCUCAGGUUAACGAGAAAGACAUCAUUGAAAACUUCCAACAUUGUAAAAUAGCCUUGAGUUAUGAAUGGCCGAAUGGGUUAGGUGUCUUUCAUGGAAUAAAGAUGUAUCAAGUUAACAAGAAAGACAUCAUUGAAACCUUCCAACAUUGUAAAAUAGGCAUGUACAUGCUGGGAUGCAGCAAGGCACAAAAGGCAAAUUAAAAGAUGGUUACAAAAGUGUGCGACACUCUCAACUUGUUAUGUAUUCGGAUAAUAUCGAUGCUGCUCAGUUAUAGUUUUUGAAUGGAUAGAUGCUAUCCUCAUAGUAUGUCUCAGGUUAACGAGAAGUCCAUCAUGACAGCCACACAAACUGUAAGCAAACUACAAACUGUAAUGUGAACAUUUGCUUGCACUUAACAUGAUGUUUGAUGUGACCAGCACUAUAUUUUGGAAUGGGACUAUUGUUAAAUUAACCAAUCUACAACAUAGGCAAAUCAACAAAACAAGAAACUUAGCUUGGAAACAGCAUCGGAAGCAGAAAAUGUAGAAAGGAAUAACGCAAUAGCAGCAGCAGAUUAUGGAACUGGAGGUGCUCAGCAGCUUAUUAUUCAAAUGAAUAUCAUCAUCAUACUAGCAGUGUAUGCUUAACAAGUAGGUCUCAAUGGGAGAGAGGGAGGGAUAGAUUGGUAAUAUAGUGUAUAUCUAGGUGCAUAGCAAAAGCUAUGUAUCUAGAAAAGCCGAAAUGACUUAUAAUUUGGAAUGGAGGGGGUAUACAUGCGCACGCGCACGCGCACACACACAGACAGACAGACAGACAGACAGACAGACAGACAGACAGAGAGAGAGAGAGAGAGAGAGAGAGAGAGGUUCUUGGAAAGGCUAUCAUCAUGGCAGCCUCCAGUUCCUAAUGGUUGCAUGGAUUUACAUGCCAGUAAGGAAUAAACAAAUAAGAAAAAAAAACACCAUGGUAACCACUGCCACCACCACGCCCCGCCAUCACCAACCCCACACACACCAGAAUUUUCAUUGCAGGUAUGAAGUUGUUUACCUUGCUAUGAAAGUGCGUAACUUUCAAGCACACAUAGUGAACAGCUCACCAUGACAACAAAGAUAAGGUAUGAGGACA
rnacentral:lncRNA from 1 species